UCCUUCCAUGUUUCGUGAGUUGAUUAAUGCCACUAGGUAAAAAUCUAUGGUUUUAUGACUUAAAUGUUAGUUCUAGCUAGUGGCGAUUGAAACAAACAACUUGGUCAUUCUUUGAACUGAAUUAGACAAGGGUAUACUAUUAAUUGGUUUUGCUUUUUUGUUCCCAUAGAAUACAAUGCAUGAUUUUAGUUGUUAUCAUUUAUCAAUCUAGUUCCGUACGUGCAUGGUUUUCAAUUGUUAAAAAGCAAGGAAUUAUUGGUAAUAAUCGAGGAAUGAGCAACGUUUCCCACUACGAUUAAUCCUUUGCAUGAAGCUUCAGAGGAUUGGGGUACCUAUUUCUCCCCCAUUCCAUCCACCCUAGCUAUAGCUACUUGAAAAAGAAAAACCCAAUUUUUUAAUCACAAAAAAAUGGCCUCACAUGAAUGCUGUUCAUUUCUUUAAUCUCCCUUUGUUUCUCUUAUUUCAUUGGAUGCCCUCCAUAUUCCCUCUUUUGACUUUCAUCACUUUUGAAACCCAAUCUUCACCCCCCUUUUUUUUUAUUGCGUUUUAAUUUUGUUGUUAGUUUCGGUAUUGUUAUGAAUUUUAUCAAUUUUAGUUAUAUAAUUUCAAUCCUCAAGUUUGAUUUUUUAAAUCAAAUUUUAUUAUUAAUCCUAUAUUAUAGGUAAGUUGUGAAUUUAGUCAUUAUUUUCUAUUUUAAUUCCUUCAAUUUAGUUAUUUUUAGUCCUUAUAUUAUAAGUAAGAUGACGAUGUAUUUUUGUAAAUAUUAUGUGAAAAUAACAAGCUAACAAUAUUAUAUUACACAUGCAAUAUAAUAUUAUUGAGUAAUAUUUUUCUCAUAUCCCAUUGAGAUGAAUGUUGGGGGUAUUUAUACAUCCUCUUACCGUUACUAUUAUAGUUCAUAAUUGGGUCCACUAUUUUGUCUUGACCUUGGGGCCUCCGGUACUAACAUUCUCUGCCUCUAGUGUUGACAUUCUCUGCACGCUCCUUGGCUUGCUGGACGCUUGUCUAUGUAAUACGCGGUCCUUUCUAAUCCUAGGAUUGACAUCCUUAGCAAGCUUCGUACCCGUUGGUCACAAGUCUAGAUUACUUGUAGGGCUUGCAAUCCUUCCUGCAAACAUAGUUCGUGACCCCAUCCUGCGAGGUGCGCCCUUGAACUCUUCUUGUGAGCUAUCUUGGCGAACACGCCUCUUCCGAGUCGAGCCCACCCGAGUCAAGGGUUGGAGACCCGGAUCUUUUUAGGACAUUUGGGUUGGCAAUUAUGGAUAUAUAAUAAAUAUGUUUGUCGAAUAAUAUUUUAGAAAUAAAAGAAUUUAAAUUAACAAAUUUAAUGGAUACCAUUUGAUUUAAAAUUGAAAUUUCAAAAAUAUAAAAAUUAAAAAUGACCAAAUUAUAAGAACUAAAUUUGAAAUACUAACAAUCAAUAUAUUCUUUGAAUGGAGAAAUCAUUUUUCUACCAAUUGAAUUGGUGAACAUUAUUUGAUUUAUUUAUGUUAAUCCAAUAAAAUUAGGGAAAUUAUUUGGUAAAUUAUUAAUGGAGCUUUUAGAUCUAAUAAAUAGAGAUUAAGGGUUUGAUAAAUAUUCUAUAAGAGUAUAUUAAAAUAUUAAAAAAUAAAUAUUUAAAAAAGAAGAAACACUUCUCAAAAUUUCAGAACUACUUAUAAAAUAAAAAAAAAAUACACCAUCAAUAUAUCAAAUAUUGGCUUAUAAAAUUAUAUUAAUUAUAAAUUACAAGGUAGACCUAGAAGAUAGAUAUCCCUAGAAAACAUAAAAUAAACCACUAUUAAUAAAACUCAUAAAAUAGGGUGAACUUAAAAUGCUUGUCAACAUAUAGGUUUGGAAUCUUGUAAAGCUAAAUUACAUAUAGAUUUGAGGUUACUUAGUUGGGCUAUCAUGGAUAAGUAGAAGAAUUUGAACAAUUUAUCUAGCAAACUUUUUUUAUUUUUUGAAGAACACUUGGUUAAAACCUAAACUAUAGUUGUUAUUUUGUAUUUUUAUGAGAUGACCAGUCAAAACCCAAAUAAUGCAAAACCAUAUAAAUUCAACAAAUAAGGAGAAUGGGCAUAAAAAUAUUGAACAAUCCACAAGGAUUUGAUCUGUAAAAUUAUGUUAAACAUGUUUCUGCUUAAUCCUGGAUUAUAUGGGCAAAAAUAGUUGGCAAAAGAAGAAAUUAAACCCCACCAACCGGCAUAAACACAUUACAAUAUUCAUAAUAAUGUGGUCUAAACACCCUCUUAAAAUAAAUCUGUCUAACUACAUGUAUUUUAUUUGUCUUAAUCACCUAGCUCUUGUAGGUUUUAGAAUGGGAUUUCAACUUUGAUUCAAUCAUGGUUCAUAAAUAAUAAAGGUAGCCAUUGGCACUGCCAUGAAAGUUCCUCCCUUUUGUCUACACUUGAAACUUGUUUAUUUAUGUGGCCCUUAAGGGGUCUGAUAUCUUGCAUGGUCAAAAUCUCAGAUCAUGCCCUAUCCAAAUAAAAUUAUUGGUUUUGAAUGGAUUCAUUGUAUACCGAAGGAUCAAUUUUUUUUUUAAAUGACAAUGAUGAAUGCGACAUAAGAACUUUUGUUUUGUGUUAUACAUUCAUGUUUUUGGUUCAUGUCCUGUCUAAUCCGUACUAGUACCCAAGAUUUUAUAUAUAAUUGGAUAACAUUACAUUACAAGUAUCUUAUUAUCUAUAUAUGCCAAUAUAUUUUUAUAAAAAAAUAAAAUAAAAUUACCAAUAUAUUCAUAUCUAAAACAAAAAUGAAAGUUGUUGUUAAUAUAGACAUUAAGGGUGUAUUUAGUAUUACUUCUAAGAAUCAUUGUUGGGAUAAAAAAACACUUUUGAGACCAAAACAUUUCUAAACAAGUUACUUUUUCAGAGAAAAAAUGUUUUUCCCAAGCAAGAAAUUGGCUCAUAAGCACUUUUUUGAUAACCUGAAAAUUUUAGCUUCUUCCUAAAAUUAAUUUUUUCCUCAAAAAAAUACUUUUGAGAAGUAUUAAUAAACUAAGUCUUAAGUAUGGGCAUGUAUGUCGCGCCAAAUAAGUGUAAUUAUUUGUAUAGGAUUCUUUUUCAUUAGCUAAAAACAUUGUCUAAUAUGAUUACAUAAAAAUAUUUGAAAUGGUAAUUUCCCAUACAAUACAAAAUUAGUAAAGGUAUCUAUAAUAAAGUUUUGAUUUGUAUGGAUAGGUGAUUAAAGUUUUUAUGAGACACUCGUUUGAUACAGAUUCAAAUCGUGUGACACUCGUUUGAUAUUUAAUAAAUUUUUGAAGGUAACAUAAAAAUUUUAAUAAACAUGGAAAAAAUAACAAUAUAAUACAAUUUUUGAAGGUAAUAACAUAGUAUAUUUAAACAUUAUAAGCAAUGAUGGUUAUUUUUUUAAAGUUACAACAACUAAUUAACGUAUCAACGGCUCCAAUCAAAAUAAAUCAUUACAAAUACUGAAAUGAAUAUUUGGCUCAAACUAACUACUCAAGUAAACUAAUUAACUAACCCACACAUAAUUCUUGCAUGGUAAGACUUAAAUCUAAGCGCUCAAAAUCCGAGUGCCACCAAUACUAAUUAAUUAAUACAAAUAUUGUAUCUCUAUCUAAAUUUUUGGUGUGUAUUAUCAAAAAAAAAUUGCAUACAUACAAAUUCUCAUGUCUAUAUGAAAAGUAUAUCCCAAUCGAAUUAAAUAGUUGAUAUUGAAAUGUAGAAAAAUAACUUAAUUGAAUGUGUGAUGAGUAGCGGAAUUGAAGGGUAAGUGUGUACAAAGUAGAAAUAUCCCAAAAUUUACGUGACAUUUUCUUUUCGAUGGAAUGUAAUGCUUUGGCCUAAUUUAUUAGAUUAGGAAGAAAAGAAAGUUGAAGAGGAAGAAAUUUAACCCCACCAACCGGCAAAAAUACAUCUCAAUUAAUUAAUUUGUCUAAAUUAAUCACCCUAAAAUAAAACAUCUUAUCCUAAUAAUUUUCAAAGAAAUUCAUGAAAGUGAAAGGCUUUAAAAAAUCAAUACUAGGAGCACUUAUACGUAGGGUUAGUUUUAUUAAAACUCCUCAGAUUAUAGUUCAUAUUCUAAAUUCAUCUUUAAAUUUCAAGUGUUUUAUUUGAGUUAUUAAUAUAUCAAAGUAUUGUAUCAAUUCUAUCCUUAUUAGCCUAAACCCACAAAUUUGCACCUAAAUUAUACCUUUUUUUCCAUCUUGAUACUUAAACAUUUUUUUUGUCAAAAAUAGUACCUAAAUUAUUAUUUUUUUCGCAAAUUAGUACCUCCGUUAGUCAAACUAUUAAGUUUAUAUUUAAAAAAAAAACAAUUUAACCCAUAAAUUAGUACCUAGACAAUACAAUUUUUCUCAAGUUGGUACCUAAACUUUUUUUUUAAUCUUAACUGAUAUAUUCGUUAAAAAAAUUCUAGUUAAUAAUAGACUGCCACGUCAUAUAAACUUUAAAAAAAUAAUUUUUAAUAAUUUUAUUUUAUUUUACAUUCUCUCUCUCUCUCAUACUCGAAAUUUGCCCUCCCAAAGUUGAGACAUUGGCAAUUAAUUUGUUUUUGAACUUCACCACUAUUUACUUGACUUGAUGUAUUUGAAAAAGUUCUUUCAUUGAUCAAACUAGUAUUUUCAAAAUUGAAUCGUACUAGUUGGACCAAGAACCUGAUGGGUAUCAAUCUGGAGCUAAGAUUGAAUCAAUUGACUUGCAAAUUGAUAUAAACCGAUUGAACCGAGCUAAAAACCGGUUGAAUUGAUUUUCUUUAUAUUUAAAUAUGAUUUAUUUUUAUAAUUUUUUAAUAAUUUAUUUUAUUGAAUCACACGAAUUGAUCAAAUUGAGAAUUGUUGGCUUUGACUGAUUCGACCAUCGAUCCUAUUCUAAAAACCUUGAUUAAAACCAUGAAGCCCAAAAUACUCACACUUGUAGAAGAAAUAUAAGAUGAGAGGAAGAAGAAAGAAAAAAUAUAAAAAAUAUAAAGUGAAAAGAAAUAUAUAUAUAUAAAGAAAAUAUUUUUUUUCCUUUUUUUACCACGUGAUAAUUUUUAAUUGGUUAUCUCUUUUUUUUAAAUUGACUUAACAAUUAAGCUAACGAAUAUACAACUUGAGAAAAAAAAAUUAGGUACCAUUUAUGAAAAAAAAAUAGGUAUUUAAAUGAGAAAAAAAACAAUUUAGAUACCAUUUGUAGGUCAAGAUUUUUUAAGAUAAACUUAACGGUUGGACUAAUGGAAGUAUCAACUGAGGAAAAAAAAUAUAAUUUAGAGAUCACUUAAACAAAAAAAAAUUAAAUAUCACUUAUAACAAAAAUAAAAAUAAGUAUCAAAAUAUAUAAAUAUAUAUAAUUUAAACACUUAAAUUAUUUUCCAUGAAUGUUAAGUUUUGGCCUAAUUUAUAUUAGAUUAGGAACAAAAUAAAGUUGAAGAAGAAAGUUUAACCCACCAACUGGCAAGUUUAACCCACCAACCGGCAUAAGCACACCUCAAUUAAUUAAUCUUAUUUAAAAAAUCAAUGUUAGUGGGUGAUUGGUUUUUAUCGCAUGAUAGAGAUUUGUUCUGUUUUUAAAGCUUAAUUGGAGGAAUUCUUGAUUGUAACACCCCUAACCCGUAUCCGUCGCCGAAUUAGGGUUACGAGGCAUUACCGAACAAACACAACUAUUUUUAAAACCAAACUGAUCACAAACAUGAAAAUUUAAUCAUUUUCGCAUAGCUGUUUAUAAUUUACAAUCAAAAUCUAACUAACAUCGUACUCAAACCUAUACAUGCCAUAAGAUCAAGUUCAAAUAUUUAACAAAAUACCAAAAGAAGUCGAUAGUGUGAUAGACUAUGCUGAUGAUCCCUGAGCUCGUAACGCGUCUCUAAAAUCUAUAAAAACAAAUGGACAAAAACAAUCAAAGUAAGCUUUUAUAGCUUAGUAAGUCUAUAGCAUAUCUAAAAAUACAUAUAAAAGAAUCACAUAAUUCUUUAAGUAAAUUUAUUGAAAUCACAAAUAUCAAAUAUAAUUACUAACUAAACAUUGCUAUAUUGAGUCAUUUUGUUUAAAUCUAAAAGAAUGUAUAUUUAACUAAUAUACAUAAACGGACAAAGGUAUAUACAUUAUAUGCAAAUAAUCAAGUUACUAACAUAAUCAUUAACUGCAUAUACUGAUUUCUAAAGUACUUAUUGUUCGCACUUCAUCGGAUCCAUUUAUAUAUAAUUAUUCAAUUACAUAUACCAAAAGCAUAACUUUUAUACUUAUCAACUAUAAGUGCCGAAUGCACAUAUUCACUUAUACCCACCUAUGCCGAAUGCAUACAUAUACACAUUUAAAUAUCCAACAAUUUCAUGACAACUGAUAUAUAUAUACAUACUCACUAAUCACAAAGAUUCGAACGAUUAUAUACUCAUCAAACAUCUUGAAACAAUGUUCAUAUAUUUAUCCAUUUCAUUUAAUUAAAAUCAUAUAUAUAUUUAUACCCAAUGCUUAGAAUCACUUAAUUUAAACAGAUUCACUGGCACUUCACCUUAUAGACUUAUAGUCUAAUUCCGUUCACCGGCACUUAGCCUGCUAGGCCUAUAGCCUGAUUCAGUUCACCGGCACUUAGCCUGCUGGACAUAUAAUCCGAUUCAAUUCACCGGCACUUAGCCUGCUGGACGUAUAGUCCGAUUCAAUUCACCGGCACUUAGCCUGCUAGACGUAUAGUCUGAACAAUUUCACUGGCAAUAAAUCCGAUUGAUACUGAGCUUUAAUAAAAAAAUCUCAAUUCACAGAAGUUGUAUCUCUUAUUUGUAUAUAAAAUCCACAUACAAUUUAGCUCAAUAUUCAUAACUUAUGUCUGUAAAAUACAUGGAUAGAUAUAAAUCCCAAUCAUCAAAUCUAGCUUAAAUAAUUCAAUGAUUCAACCGAAACACAUUUAUGUAUACAUAACCUCAUACUAUAGAUUCCACUUCUAAUACCAUAAAAUUUAACUUAUAAUAUACUAGGUACCUUAAACAUUUGAAUUCCCUAUAUACCUAUAUAGUUUCAUAUACCAUUUCAAUACAAGAUCUUAUACAUGUACAUAUAUGCAUAUUCGAAUCUAACAACCAUAUAUUACUCUAUACUUAUUUUCGAAACAAGAACAUAUACCUAAAUACUCAUACAUAUUCGAAUUUAACAUAUAUAUGUAUAUAUAUAAUUGAAUAUAAUUUCAUACUUAUACUCAAUAUAAUUAUUAUUCAUAAGUACACAUACUUAUUCACUUCAACUUAUACAAAUGUUCAAAUAUAUCUCAUACCUUUGAAAUUUCAUACCUAAAUUCAAUACAACAAAUUUUACAUAUAUAUACAUGUAUAUUCGAAUAUAAUUUAUACAUAUAUGUUCAUAACUAAAUUUAUUACAUGGACAUUCAUAUGCAUAUUUGUAUAUUCAUAGCCAUUCGACUCUAACAUAUAUAUGUAUACAUAAUUUCAUACUUUCAAAUUCCAAAUUUCUUUCUUUUAUACUUUUUAAAUUUAACUCAACACACAUACCAUUGAUAUACAUACUCAUAUGUUGAUUUAAUAAAAUUAAAUAGCUAAUAGACUUACCUCGGAUUUCAGCGGACACGAUCGACUAUUCGAUUACUUUCGUUUUUCCCCGAUCCAAAUUCGUUUUCUUCGUUUCUUGAUCUAAACAUAAUCAAAUUUAACCUUUUUAUUCAUCAAAACAUUCAAUUAAGUCCAAAAAUACAUAAAUGGAAAAAUUACCAUUUUACCCCUAACAUUUUACACUUUUUGCAAUUUAGUCCUUUUUGCACAAAACACAAAAUACACAAAAUUUGCCUACACUACGCUAGGGCCGAAUGUUCCUUGUCUUCAUACAAGUCCACACAUUUCAUUUAUUUCGCAUUUUAGCCUUUCAAAAAUAUUAUUUUGAAAUUUAACCCUAAUUACUCAAUUUCACCAAAAAUUCCAAUACAAAACAUAUUAAUCUAAAACAUAUCUUUCAUUAUUCACUAUCAAACAUCACAAAACACAAUUAUUCAUCAAUGGCAUAGACCAAAAUAUUCAUCAAAAUAAAAAAUUCAAGCAUGGGUCAGAUAGUAUUCGAAGUAGAGCUGCUCAUGGGCCGGGCCAGGCCGGGUUCGGCCCGGGUCCUAGGCCUGGGCCCGGCCCGACCCGAAAUAUGGGUCUAGAAUUUUGCCCAAGCCCGGCCCGGGAAAAAAUUCAUAAGCCCGGGCCCGGCCCGUUUUUUAAAUAAAUACCAAAAUUUUAUUUUAAAAAUUAAAAAAAUUUAUUUUAAAAAUAUUUUAAAAUUAAAAAAGUAUUUUAAAAAUAUUUUAAAAUUAAAAAAAUUUUAAAAAAGUAUUUUAAAAGUAUUUUAAAAUUAAAAAAUAAAAAAAUUUAUUAUAUUCAGGCCGGGCCGGGCCGGGCCCGGGCCAAAAAAGUGGUGCCCGAGGCUCGGCCCGUUUUUUAAUCGGGCCUCAUUUUUUGCCCAAGCCCAUAUUUCGGGUGGGCCGUCGGGCUGGGCCGGGCCGGGCCGCCCGGCCCAUGAGCACCUCUAAUUCGAAGCAACGAUAUCAAAAACGUAAAAAUUAUCAAAAACCGAGCUAAACACAUACCUUAAUCAAGCUUAGACAAAACCGAACCCUAGGAACUCUUUUUCUUUUCUUUUUCUUUUAAGUUUCGGCAAUGGUGAUGAAAAAGAUGAACAAGUGAUGUUUUGUUUUAUUUUUAUUAUCAUUAUUAACAUAAUUACCAAACUAUCCUUAAUGAAAUAAUAUAAAAGCUAAAAAAUGAUAGUCCACUACCGUCCAUACUAUCAUUUAGUGGCCUAAUUUCAUUUUAAGGCCUCCACAUUAAAAGAACAUAGCAAUAUAGCACUUUAACAAAUAGCAAGUCACUUUUAUAAUUUAUGCGAUUAAGUCCAUUUAUAAAAUUAAAUAACCAAUCGGUAAAAUUAAUUUACGAAAAUUUCACACAUGCAUUCUAACAUGCUUUAAACACAUAAAAUAUAAUUAAAAUAUUUUUAGGACUCGGAUUUGUGGUCCCAAAACCACUAUUCCGAUUAGAGUCAAACCGGGUUGUUACAUUGAUGGUGUGUCAUUGACAGAAGGAAUACUUCAUGACAGAAUUUUGAUACAGACCGAUAAUAUGGAUGUUAUUGGGACCAUUAAGGAAUCCUUUUUGAAGGAGUCAAAUUCUGCUUUAAUAAGAUGCAUUAAUCAACUCUUACGGAAGGAGACAAACUAGUCCAUAGAUUAUGUUCCUAGAGAAGACAACAUGGAAGUUGAUCAAAUAUGGAAGUUGAUCAAAUUAUUAAGUUGGCUUUUGAUAGAGAGGAAGUCGGCUAUUUUACAAAAAUAAUACAAAAAAAUAAAAAAAAAUACCUAAAUAUUAUAUCUUUUUUUAUUUACCAAAAUGGUACAAAAAAAAACAGUUAAAAAAAAACCUGAAAGAAGGGCCUGCCACAGGCGGUACCUUUGGUGCCUGUGGCAAAGGCGGCACCAAUUGUUCGUAUUUCGACCCUUUGUUCGUAUUUUUUUUCGGAUUUUAUUAUUUUAAAAAAUAUAAUAUUUUCUAAUUUUAUUAUUUUACAUUAUUUUAGUACAUUAUAUUUGAAAUGUAUUCAUUUAGUAUGUUUUUUAAAUAAAUUUAAAAAAAACCCUUAUUUCGGCCCUUUGUUCGUAUUUUUUCCUGGAUUUUAUUACAUUCAAUAAAAAUAUAUUAUUUUCGUAUUUUAUUAUUUUACAUUGUUUUAGUACAUUAUGUUUGAAAUGUAUUAACUAAUUUUGUUUUUUAAAUAAAUUUAGUAAAAAACCCUUAUUUUGACCAUUUGUUCGUAUUUUUUCCUUAGAUUUUAUUACUUUUAAAAAAUAUACUAUUUUUUAAUUUUAUUAUUUUACAUUAUUUUAGUACAUUACAAUUGAAAUGUAUUCAUUCAGUGUGUUUUUUAAAUAAAUUAAAAAAAAACCCCUUAUUUCGGCCAUUUGUUCAUAUUUUUUCCCCGGAUUUUAUUACUUGCAAUAAAAAACACACUAAAUGAAUACAUUUCAAACAUAAUGUAAUAAAAUAAUGUAAAAUAAUAAAAUUAGAAAGUAGCAUCUUUUUUAAAAGUAAUAAAAUCUGGAAAAAAAAAUACGAACAAAGGGCCGAAAUACGAAAAAUUGGUGCCGCCUCUGCCACAGGCACCAAAGAUACCGCCUGGGGCAGGCCCUUCUUUCAGGUUUUUUUUUAAACUGUUUUUUUUUGUAUCAUUUUGGUAAAUAAAAAAAAGUUAAACUAUUUUGAUUUUUUUUUUGUAUUAUUUUUGUAAAAUACCCGAGGAAGGCUUACAAAUGCAGUUUCUCCUCUAGUUUCUUUUUAGUUCUUUUAUUUAUUUUUGUAACACUUCUUUUAUUCAUAAAAUAAAAAAUCAAUGCUAGGAGCACUUAUAAAUAGGGUUAAUUUCAUUAAAAGUCCUCAAAUUAUAGUUCAUAUUCUAAAUUGAUUUUUAAUUUCAAAUGUUUUACUUGAGUUCUUAAAAUAUCAAUAUUGUAUCAAUCAUACCAUUAUUAGCCUAACCACUAGUUUAGACAUUAAAUGUUGGUUUGGAUUUGAAGUGAAGCAGAUUUUAAACUACCCGAAUCAAAUUGUAAAUACGUUUGUACCUACCAUAUAGGCAACUUAAUUUGAUGUGUUAAAAAAGCAAAUAGUGUAAACCAUUUUCUUAAUAUAUUAGAUCCAAGCUAUUGACACAUGUUUUUAUAAUUUAACCCACGUACUUUAAUUAUGCUCCAUGCUAAAUUUGAGCGGACAUUUAAUAUUUAAAUUAACGGUUAUAUUAUUUAAAAAUGUGAUUAAUAAAAAGUUAGAUAUUUUGGAAACUCUUAUUAAAUUUGAAUACCAAUGUAAAGUUUUGGUGCAAUUUUAUUUUUGUAUUUUGUUUUAUGUUAUAGAUUCAUAUGUUGUUGGAUUUCCUCAUAUUCUAACAAAUCAAUUAAACAAUAAUAUAAACUUUGGAAUGAAGAAACAAAUAUUAUAAAUUAGAAGUAUUCAUGGUUGUCACAUUUAUUUUCCAGACAAAGCAAAUCAAAUAUUUUUGCAUCAUCAUGCAUUUAUUAAAUAAAAGGGUUCAUGAAUAAUGCAUGAAAACUUCCAUUUUUUAUUCAUGAUGUCAAAAAUGGGAUUUCAUGAUUAGAAAUAAAAGAAGAAAAGGAAGAAACAGACCUUUCCUAAGAUAAGCUCAGAUUUGGUCUGGAUUAUGUAGACCAAUAGAAUGAGAUAUGAAGUUAUGAAAUAAAUCCAAAUAUAUUCCAAGAGAAAGGACAUCUUCUUGGAAACCCCUUUCCUACUCUUCCUUCCAUAACCAUGUAGACCAGUCAAUUUUUUUAUAAUAAAAAAUUAAGUCUGCUCAGCUGAUAAUGGGUAAUUUUAGGAUUCGAAUUUGAUCUUAUAAAUAUCUAGGAAAGAAAUUUACUUUCACUUUUUUCAAUCAUUGGUUGAAAUUUAGAGAUUAAUUUUCAGUGUAUGUACUUUUUAAAUAUACGACUAUUUAAUAGUUUUGGGUGAACUGAUGUAAUUUGGUGGAAGAUGUUCUUCGGAUUUCGGAAGUAUCCUCCAUAAAAGAGGCAAACACAUUCAAUCUAAACACGUGCAACAUUCUAAUAAAUUCCAUACAUGUUGACUUUUGAUUACUUACUAUUCCUUAGUUAGAAAGUUUUAAUAUUGACGAGUCAGGGUAAUUGCACCUAUCAAAGAAAUUUAAAAGGCUGUUAAAUGAAUUUCAAUUUGUUAACUAUUACUUACCAAACCUUGUUUUAUAAUUUAAUUUGAUUCUGUAGUCCAAAUAAUCGAGUAUAGUAGUAAUUAGCAAACAAGAAUACUUGUACAACCCAACAAACUAAGGCCAUUCCCAAUGAUCCACAUAUUAAAAUCUUGCCUAUAAUGGAUAAGCAGAAGAAUUUGAACAAUUUGUCCAGCUUUGGAACACUUGGUUAGAACUUAAACUAUAGUUUUUAUUUUGUAUUUUUUACGAGAUGACCAGUCAAAAGCAAACAAGGAGAAUGGGCAUAAAAAUAUUGAACACUCCACUAGGAUUUGAUCUGUAAAAUUAUGCUAAACAUGUUUUUGCUUAAUCCUGGACUAUAUGGGUAAAAAUAGUUGGCAAAAGAAGAAAUGAAACCCCAACAACACAUUACAUUCAUAAUAAUGUAGUCUUAAAACCCCUUAAAACAGAUCUGUCUAAUUAUAUUUUUCUUAAUCACCUAGAUAUUGUAGGUUCUUGAAUGGGAUUUCAACUUUGAUUCAAUCAUGGGCUCAUAAAUAAUAAAGGUAGCCAUGAAAGUUCCCAACUUGAAACUUAUUUAUGUGGCCCUUAAGGGGUCUGAUAGCUUGCAUGGUCAAAAUCUCAGAUCAUGCCCUAUCCAAAUAAAAUGAUUGGUUUUGAAUGGAUUCAUUGUAUACCGAAUGACAAUGAUCCAUGCAUUUAUAACAAGUUUUGUUUUGUGUUGUGUUAUACAUUCAUGUUUUUCGGUUCAUAUCCGUACUAGUACUGGAGAUUAUAUAUAAAGUUGGAUAGCUUUUUAACUAGAAGGUCUUAUUAUCCAUAAUUCUCAAUAUUUUUCAUAUCUAAAACCAAAUGGCGGUAUUCGUUGUAGAUAUAGACAUGGUGCCAAUAAGUGUUGUUAUUUCUAUCUUUUCUCUUACCUAUAAACAUUGAGUAGAGAAAAAUAUUUGAAUACUAUAAUUUAAACAUUACUUGUUGAAUACAAAUAUUAUGAGGAUUUUUGACGCAUAAUAACUUGUGUUGUAUCAUCCGGUGACCACGACGGUGAUUGGAUGAAAGGGAUGGUAAGAGAUAUCCCAAGGGCUUCUAGUGUCCAUGCCGAAUUAUGGGCCUAAAUCUCUUGGAAUUAGUUGUCAUGAGAUCAAACUUGAUGCCACUGCUGUUAUUAAAGCUAACCUUGAUAAUCAAAUGCUCACGAUAUUGAUUCGAGGCUUCUUAUGAAACAUAUGUUUAGAGAAGGAAAUCAAUGUGUUAGGCAGCAACUCUAUGGAACCUCGGACUGCCCAAGUAUUGGAUUUUGGUUUUGUUGUUAACUGCUAUGAACCCUAUUUGUAUUAAAGAUUUGCUACAAUGAGACGUGGUAUAUAUACGUUUUUUUCUCAUUGAAUGUUGGAAUUAUACGAAAUACAUUCAAAUAAAUAUCUAAAACAACGGAGAUCUACUUGGAAUCCCUUUCCUACUCUUCCUCCUGUAAGAAUGUGGAGUUUGAUUAAUUCGAAUCCUCUCACCAUUCAUCUGCAAUAUAAUUUUUAGAUUAAAAUACCGUUAAAUUAAACCUAUUCGAUAUAAAAUUUAUUCAUCAUGUUUGUUGUAUAUGAAAUUAAUGAACUGUUUUUAAACUAUGAUUAUGAGAAAAACUGUGGGUGUUUGUGGAGAGGAACUUACAUGAAGAGUUUGGUGAGAGGGAUGAUGUUCCUUGGAUUCCAAGCAUCCUUCACCCGUACAAUCUAAACAAGACGAUGUAUAUUUAGAGGCAUGGGUCUCACAUAAACUAAACAACUUGGCUUCCAAAGAUGGCAAUACCCCGCUACUUUCAACCUUAUUCUGUUCCUCCAUUCUUAAUUUCUUUAUUUCACAAUUCACAUAUGAAACUCCUCCUAAUAUAUACGUAUUUGUAUUACUCACAUAUAUGAGAAUAAGGAAAUCAUAGUUCUAAGAGAAGUAGGACACAAGUUUUCCAUAUUGUAUUAGGAAUUCCUACUAUUUCCCUUUUUUGUUGGAUGACGAUUUAACUACAUUAAUAACAAAACAAAUUCGAGGGUGACUUUAUGUACUUUUUGUUAUUGCAUAACAUCUGAAAAACAAAAGAGUGAAGUUCAUUAAUACAUCUCUUAUAUUUUUAGUCAAAUAAAUAUAAGUUAGACAAUGCUAAACUUUUGUACCCUUACCCUCAAGCAUUCCCUUCAAAAUUGAACUAAACUAUAACAUGAAAAUUGAGAAUUUCAGUUCAUAGGUGAGGCAAUGGAGGUUGAUUUUGACUUUGGAACAUGGAUUUGCUUUUUAAGUCUGUUCAUUGAUGGGACAAUUGUCGAGAUAAUAAUGGAGGGGUGAUUUGAGGGCUUUGGAAUGUUUGGCUGAAAUUGGUGGAUUUUUAAGGGGUAAUUAAGAAAUGGCCCUAAUUGGUCAUUUUGGUACAACCGCAAGGGACCCUUUGCAGUUGUAGCUGCAGUUUUUCUUUCACCACCUGCAAGAAUUUGCUGAAUGUUAUAUUUUUAAUAAACUGUAUGAACUAGAUAAAUGAAUCAUUGAAUCGUAAAUUGGCAGCAAACUUUAUUCAAAAAACAUUGAAAUUCAAUUUUAUCGUUCAAGAUUUUGAUGUUUGUAUAUGAUACUGUCAAUGUACACUUCUUAAUUUGAACAUCUAAAGAACUGUCAGGAUCUGCCUGCUGAACUUUUUUGUGUAUGAAGAAAGGGUUGGAACUAGGAAGUUGCGAGUCGCUACAAAGACGAAAGGAGCCAAAGGUUGAAGAGAGUUGAAGCAAAGGAUAGAAACCACGACAUGAAAGCCAUAGCUGCAGACAACUGAUAUCUACUGCAUAUCUUUGACGGGCAAUAUGUUGAGCUGACAUUGACCAAGAGACUUGUCACACUAGCAGUUGAGCAAGCCGCGGCUAGUGAGAGAAAUGACAAGGCCUGCAAUCAGAUAAAACACAUGUUUUUACAUCAAAUUAUGAUAAGGGAUAACACCAUGGUGAUGAUAUGCAUAAUAAGCCUUGUAACAUACCCAGUCUCCAACAAUGACAACCAGCAGUACCCUUGGUUGUCGUGGUAAGCCUUUAACGAACACGGAAUAUGCAUCAACCAAUGCUAAUGACACACUCCAUGGAGUCACUAAACCCAUGACUGUCACCAAGUAGCUGCGAAAAAAUUUAAAGGAAAAUUGGAGAUUGAUUUAUCACCCAACAAUUGGUGACCAACAAUGAAAACACAAACAUUCUCUUCUAUAUCAUUAUAUCUAAUGAGCAAUUGAACAUUAUAGUUUGUACCUGCAAUUGAUCGAACAACACCACAGACAAGGCAAGUUUAGACAAUAGAAGACCUUAUCCUAUGGCAAUUUUUUAUCAUUCAAUAGCUUCUGUUACUAGUGCAAGGGCUUUGAAAUUGCAAGAACAGAUACGGUAAAACGGCCACGCCAGUCAUAGCAAAUUGGUACUUAUGGUCUUAUGUUUUUGAAGUACAGAAUAAAGUGGUUAUAUUCAUUGUCUUAAGAUUGAUCCAGAUGGUUUGUGCUGAUCUAUAGAAGUUAGAUAGCAGAUACAGACAAUGCCUCAUUAUCUAGUUUCAUCUUUCCAGAAACAUGCAAAACACGAGGACCCAAGUCAAGGAAUAAAGUUUAAAUGCAAAAGCCAUACAAGACCACUAUCUACUUUUACAAUUCACCUUGUUAACUAUCUUGAUUCCCUUGACAUCAAGCUUAAUCAUCCUUGAUAUUAGCACUUGAUGAGCUAUUUGGUUCCGGCCAUUUUGUUAAUUGCUUAAAUUAAAGCCUUUUUCUUGUACAAAUGCUCCCAACAUUGUGCAUUUUAUACACAAAAAAAGACACAUUUUUUGCAUUUCCAUUCACCUAGUGAAAACUUUUAACAGAGGAAAAGUCCGGAAUCCAGCCUUGGAUAACAAAUAUCAUCAGCAAAUAAAUUAUAUUCUAUGGUCUAGUUCAACAACUAGCCAAGUAACAGGUCAUGUACAUUGAGAAUGGUUUUGAUAACUCUAAUUGUUGAAAGUCCAAAUUCAGUCAUCCAUACAAAAAGCAAUUGAUCUUUGCAUAUCCCUGAAUCAAAAUAGACUCUCAGAUAACUUUACCCUUUCAAUCAUUAAAUGGCACCUUUCCCUGCAGUCAUCCAUAAGCAAGAAGCAAGAUUUCCUGAAAAUGGCUUUUUUUUAAACCUUAAAUUGUUUUGUUUUCAUAAAAAAAAAAAUUCACCUAAUUCAUUUUCUCCCCAAGCCCAAAAGCCCUUCCCUUCAAAUAAUUUCCAUGAAGAUACCAGUGGAACCAGAAGUACUUUUGCUCUCUCCAACAUGGUAAAGCCGCUAUUUUACAUGGCAAAAAGACACACAAAGCUUGCCUAACCUCAAUCCAAAUCCUUAAAGACCAAUCACUAAAAUGAUCACGAUUGUGAUAGUUUUUCCCUGGAGGUUCCCAAAGUAACACCAGAACCAGCUAUUAAAAGUUGACAACGAAUUGAAUUCCGAGCAAAUAUCAGAAACAAAGAGGCAUGGGUAUUGAAGAUUAAAAGCCAAAGAGAGGAAGAAAGAUAAAAUAUGACCAAAUAAAUGGAAGAAUCUUAAAACGUUGACAGUUACCUGAAAGAAGUAUAGCUAUAGAAUUCAACAUCCAAACACAUAAAGAGAAGUGAAGCAGCGGAGAAAACAGUUUGUCCCAAACGAAGAGCCAAGCUGGCGCUUGUUCCCAACGCCCCUGGCACUGCUUCCAUCGUCCCUCAUGUCAUCUUAUCUCUCUGUUUCUUCAUCUUCAGUGUAUUCCCCUAAAACCCAAUAAAAAAGCAGAGGCCAAACACUAGGAGAAGGGAUUGAAGGGAUUGAAACAAUAGAAUUAGAGUAAAAAAGAAAAAGAGAGAAACAGUGGAGUCCUAGGAAUAGGAUGAAGAAAUGGAAAGAGAGGAAAAAGAGGAGAUGGGUAGGGUGAAUGAUGAAGGAUGAAGGAGGAGGAGGAGGCCAAGUUGUUGUAAUGGCGCUUUUGGGUCAAUGUCAAUUCUCUCUCUCAUUCUUAAUUUUACAAAUGGACUGUCCCUCUUUUCUCCAUUUUUGAUUCUUGUAAGUGGAUUCCCGGGGGUUGUCCACUCUUUUGACGAUGUAAAUAAUAAUGUGUCAUUCCUUCACGUAUAUACUACCAAGACACUGUUGAGUUGAAGCUACUAUAUUUUAUUUCUGAAAUGCAAAUGAAAUUCAAAUUGGUGAAAUAUUUAGAAAUUAAACAUUGAAUAAUUGGAACCAUACAAAGUUGAUUGCCGGGCCAAGACAAUUGGAACCCCACAAAAUGGUAUUUAAGAGAGAACAAAUUCCAUUUCUAAAGACGUGGUUCAUCUAUCCUACAGUUUGGAACACCCAUGAUUCAAUCAUUUCCAACCCAAUGUUUAUAAUAUUACUUGUCUAUCUGCUUCUGCUUUUUCAACACUUCCCUCUAAAUUAUACGACUUUCUCUAUUUCUUAUCUGUAUUUAUCAAAACACUACGGCAUCAGUUGACUUGUCAUUUUAGGCACCAAAUGCAAGGAAACUAUAAGUUUAUUCACACAAAACACUAUUUUGAUGAAUUCAAAAUUGUCUACACUUAGAUCAUCUUUCUUUUUCCAGAUUAUUAUUAUUAUUUAUAAAAUUAUCAUUUAAUAAAUAAAUUUCAUAUUUGAAAAUGAAAAAAAUAUAUAUUCAUUUAUUUAUAAAUAUUUUUAUAAUUUUCUACAUAUUUUUACCAAAAAUUAAACUUUUAAAUAUUUUGUUUUAUGUUUUUCUAAUUUCUAAAUUUUAUUUUUUAAAGAAUCAAGGCUAAAUUCACAAAAUGUAUAAAAUUGAGGGUUAAUUUAUUAUUAUGUAAAAAAAAAAGACCACCACUAAUGAGUUAACAAAGGGAUGACCAAAAUAUUAAAUUUUAAACUUAAAAUAACUAAAAUAAAAAUACACUAACAAUUUUGUAGUUUACCUAUAAACAUUUUCUGAAAUUGAAAAGAUAACCUUUUCUAGUUUCAGCCUUUUAUCAGACUUGUUGAAGAUGCUAAGAGGAGUAGUUUUAUUUGGUAUUAUUAUGUGGGUGGUACACUCAUUGAUUUAUUUAGUUAUUUCUUUGGCAAGUGAAGAGUUUGGGAGAGUAAAUUGGACAACAUUUAGGGUGUCAUUAUUCAUUUGAGUGCCAGCAUACUAGACUUAAAUCAAUAGUUGUAUAGAAAAUACUGUUUAAUGAAUUCAUUCUCUAAUCUAGACUCUUAAAAGUAGAAUUGUUUAAUCUAAAUUCGCCUCUUAAGUAAGGAUACCCAGAAGAAAAAGGUCAAGUGAAUCGUUAGGGUGUAUAUGAUUAACUUAUAGUUACUAAUAAAACAAAUAAUUUUAUAUCUCAAGUUCACGAGACAGAAAGAAUUGUAGUGAAAAAGUUUCACUAACAAUUUGGAUGGAAUGAAAUAAUUAUUUCAACUCUAUCCAAACAUCUAUAUAUAAUGUACAAAUAAAUACACAAGUGUCUUUUUGAAAAGUCUUUAAAAAUUUAUCAAAUAAACAAGAUUAUUCGGAUUUAAAAUCAAUAAAUAAACAUAUGUUUUUGACUUAAGGCACCAACUGGGACAUCAUUAACAUCUUUUCUUUCUCCUUUCAUGAUUGCAAAAAUAUAUGCAUAUCACAUAUAUAAAUAUAUAUUAUAUAACUAUGUAUCAAUCAUAACUAUGCAUGUAAAAUAUCAUGUAUAUAAUAAACUAACUUUUGAUUUUCAUAAAACAUUAAUGCAUUAGACAUUAUACUUUUAAAUCAAAUUCAAGCAACAUGAAUAAAAUGAUAAAUUUGACAUACAUGUCCUCGCGAUAAAGGUUUCUUCUAAAUCAAUUUUUGAUAAGAUUAUUGACCUUGAUGCAUUUACAUUUGUCAAUAGCCAUCCUUUUAGUAUCAUGCUUGUAGUGUCGUGUAAAUAAAUACGCCUUCAUUAAUAUCUGAUAAGUUUUCCAAAAAAAAAAAUCUUAAAAUUGUUGGCGUGUGGAGAUAAAAUAAUCUUAUUAGAAAUUAACCGAAGGCUUCAAGGCUUGUAACCAUGCCACUAUUUUUAAGGAUGAAGGAUAAUAAAAAGAAACUUUUGAAGUUGUUCUUUAUAGAACAAUCUAAGAAUAUUAGAAGAUGAAGGAGAAUAAAAGAAACUUUUGUUUUUCAACUUUUGAUGUGAUUUUGGUGUUACAUACAAAUGAAAUUUCACUCCUAUUUAUAUGACAUAACUUUUGAUAUUUAAGUGACAUACAUUAUCACUAUAAAUAGUGACAACUCUUGAUCAAUAAUCAAGUGAUACAACUCUUGAUUACUUAUAACUUUGGCAUAAUGACUUCUUUAACCUUUCAACUUUACAAAAAAAAAUCAUUUUAGCCAUCCAUUUUUUUUUGUUCGUUUUAGCAUUUGAACUUGUAUUUUUUGUCACAUCACCUCAAAAUGGAUGGAAAAUUUAAUGUUUGUUAACUCUAUUGAUGCGGCAUACAUGUAGAUAGCCAUGUAAAUGACAUGUCAACAUUUAAUUAAUUUUUUAAAAUUUAAAAUUAUUAAAAAUAUAAUUUUAAUGAUUUUAAUUUUAAAAAAUAGUUUUAUAUUUUUAAAAUUUUAAAAAUUAAUUAAAUGAUGAUAUGUCAUCCACGUGGCAAUUCACAUAUAACAUUAGCAAAAUUUUUAAAAAAAAUUGACUUUUCCAUUCAUUUUGGGGUGAUUUAAUAAAAAAUACAAGUUUAAGGGCUAAAAAGGCAAAAAAAUAAAUGAAGAGCUAAAAUAGCUUCUUUUUUUGUAAAGUUAAAGGGUCAAAUAAGUCAUUAUGCCUAUAACUUUUCAUUUACAACUAUUAAAACCCUAUAUUAGAAAUGUUACUACAAAUAUUUCUCCUACAUGUGAAAGACCUACAAAAUUAAUGAUAUCUUAAGUUAAGAAGCUGAAACUAGAGUUAAUGAAAUUUCAACCCUAAAAACUCUAGUCUUUUAAUUUCCUAUAGGUAAAGUGUAGUAAAAUCCUGAAGUUACUCUAGGAUUUCAUAUCUUUUAUCUACUCCAAAAACCAUACUUGUGUCUUUUAAUCAAUGACAAAACAAACCCAACAAUUUUAUCCAAUCAUUAGGAUGGGUUUAUACAUGUUUAAUUAUGUUGUAAUUCCUAUAAAUUAUUAUACAACAAUAAAAGUUAUUUUGAAGCGUUCGAUAGCAUCAAGGUAAUUGUUCACCUUAAUCCGAUCGCGUUUGAUUGUUUGCUGAUGUAAUGGCUUGCUUUGGUGGCUAUUGCUCAUUCCUAUGGCUUUGAAUCCUCCUUUUCGUGUUUAGUAAUGGAGGCCUGAUUGAAGUGUAGGUUUUUCCUGAGCAGUUCAACUCGGACUUUAGAUUGAUCGGCUUUGGGGUGAACUGUGACUCUCGUUCAAGUGUACUAAGAUUGUUGAAAGCUUUGGCUCAUUUGGAGCUAUUGCUCUUGUUGCAUGUAAACCUAUUGGAAAAACAUUUGUUAAGGACCCUUCAGCUGUAUCAAGCCCUUUCUCAAGAAUCGUAAGAGAUUUCAUAGCAGCCACACUUGGUUUUGAUUUUGCCCAGGCCCUGUUUUCACGAUCCACAUUGGGGAGAGUUGUACAAGUAUUUCAUCUUCUAAAUGUUUAUUAACUACUGGAUUAUUAUCUACUUCUUUAGGGAUUUUGAAGAAGAUCGUGAUGUUGAAGUACUUGAAGCCACGGUUUUACCACCACUUGCACGGAAGAACCAAGGCCGUUUAUUGAUGAUUUACAUUCAAACUCCUUAAUGAGAGUGAGAUUAUUUAGUUUCCAGGAUUCCCAGUGCUUUGAUCAAAAGUAACAGGGGUUUGUAGUAGAAGCUUAGAAAAUUAUUAUAAGAAGCCAACAUAGUAACAUACAAAGAAGAUAAGGGUUUCUCAGUGGAUUACUGCAAAGUUUAGCAACACUUGUUUAAAAAUUACAAAACCUCAGCCGAGAAUAAACAAAUUCAUACAAGACUUGUUUAUGAAUCAAGCUGAGCAUACCAGACACCAGUGAUCUUGACAUCCUUUGGAGUCUUGGCACCCAAGUCAGUGUCAGAUGGCUGAAGGCUCUCGAACACACCGAUAACUUCACCGGUCUCCGGCUUGCUCUUUGUGACGCUCAAGGUGAUUUUCCCUGAUGAAGAUGCAGCACUCUUGUUGUUCUCCUUGGCUAGCUCUUCCUCAUCCCCUCUUCCUCCAGCAGGCAAGGCCACUGCAUUAUCGUACCCGGUUGAGCCACCCCUUCCCUUUGGGUCCAAGAAAGAUGAGCCACGGUAGGAUGGUACAAGGAAGUCUCCUCCAAAGCUAUCAGGUUUGCCUGAUGCAACCAAUUGCUUGAUGGUGAACAGGAAAGGCACACGCUCACCACCAGGAAGCUGAACUGUGACGGCAGCAUAAUCAAUCCCAUCUUUCUCCUCGAAUUUGACGGUGCCAUCGGUGGAUACCUCGAAAGGGCCCUCGAUUUCGUCAAGGGUGUAGGUUAAACGGGUCAUGAGCUUGGUGUUUUGGAACUCAGGAGGGGCAUUCUUGUUAACACCCUCAGCCUUGACAGUGAAGGAAGUGGGCUCCAAGCAGAACUUCUUGGCGUAGUAUUUGCCAGGCUUGAAGGCAAAAGAGUCGACACCACCAUCGAUGGUUGGGCACUGGUUAGCAGUUCCUGUUCCUUUGACUUCCAUGUAUGUCUUGCUUUGGAUUUCAUCGUAGGUUAGCCGCUUUGGAACUCCUUCAGCGCUUGCUCCCUUCAAAACAAACCAGUCAUUGUAACAUAUUUGUUCAGAUCACGGAUCAUAUAUGAUCCUUAUGUAUGCAAUCAACGAUACUUGGUUCAAAUAAAAAAUCCAAAUGAUAAAGUUACAACACCAUGCAAGCUCAUUAAGAAUCCUACCUAAGCUACAUAAAAAUAAAUACAGAAAUUUGAAGCAAGUGAGAGGCGAGAAGUAAAUACCGAGACAACAAGAGCAGAUGUAGCAAGAGCGAAACCAGCGAGCUUGGUAGCAUCAACACACUUCUGAGCCAAGUCCUUGAGGUCAGUUUGCAAAGAGCAGGUGAGCCUAGCACCAACAGGCUCCAAACCGAAGGCCUUAGAAACGCUCUGGGAGGACCUGAGCAGCACAUUGGUCCUUGAUGGUGCAGCAACCUUGAUUGGUUGCAUCAGGGUAGCUGCAGCUUGAAGUGAGACCGACAUUGUUACGAACUAUUGGAAAACAAAGAAGAGAGAGUUGUUUUAGUGAGAGCGUAGGGGAAAUUUAGGGGCCAAUUAUGUUGGUGGCAAUGGUGAGAGUAAAGAUAAGGGGAUAGGAUAUGGGAAGUUCCCAUUGGUGGAUGAAGGUAAUGUGUUUGGUUUCAGGGUAUGACACGUGGAGAUUUUGUGAAAUGGGAUAAAAAUGGGUGUUAGUCAGAGUGGAUGAUGUGAGGGACUACAGAUUUUCUUAAAGUUAGUUCUGCCAUACAAAUUCCGGUGGUUGCCCUUCCUCCACUGGGGCCAUCAUGCUCAGAGAGUACUUUGAGUUGGAAAUCAUUUGGUUAACAUAUGCUGUUACUCCCUAUAUUUUGAUACAAUUUGAGAUUUAGUCUUUGUACUUAAAAAAUUUUAAAAAUUAAAUCCUACUUUUUUUUCUUAAAAAUCUCAGUGCAAUCAUCAAAAUCACAAGUACUUUCUGUCAAAAUAUUUUAAUUUUUCGUAAGUAUUUUUUUGUCAAAUUUUGUUAACUUGAAAUUCUAAUUAGGUUUUUCUCAUAUGAUUGAUAGAAAAUAAAUAUAUUAAGUCGACAAAUUUUGAUAGAAACUACCAACAAAGAUAAUAAUUGAACUAGGAUUUUUAAAUUGAAAAAUUAGAAUGAUUGAUUUUUUUUACAUUUUAAGUAUAGGGACAAAAUUUUAAAUCCUACACAAGUACAGGGACCAAAUAAAUUUCAUCAGCUUCUGUCGUGUUUGGGUUCCGACUGGGAUGUAAAAAGUGUCCAAAGUAGCAAGCCCAACCCAAACUAGAAGAGAAGUAAAAUCAUAAAAUAAUGAUAAUGGCCCAUCCAGGAAAUUCGCGUUAUUAGCACGACGCUCUAACCAGCUGAGCUAAUAGGCCUUGAUGGCAAAUGAGAUUUUAUUAUAUAAAUCAAGAGGCUACAGGAUUUCGUAUAACAGUUCAAUAAUUCAUACACGUGGAAAGACAGAUUCGUCAUUGACGAUUAUCAACGAGAAUUGACAGUGUUUGUGGGAAAACCAGUCUAAAAUAACCAACCCCUUUCUUUAUUCCUCUGCUUAAUUUAUUCAUAUAUUAGCCCUAUCAUUUCUCUUAAGGCAGCACCCUCUGACAUCUGGCAUGCAUCCACAGCAUUUAUGAAGAUUGCUGGUUACCUGCAAAACAAAACUUUAAAGUUGUUUCAUAUUCAUAUUCAACCAAAAACAUCAAGCUUGGCUUUUUUGUCCCUAGCUCGCUUAUCAUGAUCAUCAUCUUUCCUUUCGCUUUUUCGAAACAACAGGUUUAAAUGUCAACAAAUAAAAAUACCCAUUUUCCCAAUAUGUUGUAGUUGGGUAUUGAAGUAAAGAUUAGACGACCUCAAAGAGCAACUAAAACUAUGACAAGUAACCUCAUACACCAAAAAGUCAAAGAAAAACUAUAACCUGAAACUGGGGUUGCAGGUUGCUGAUUAUUGUUGUUGUUUGUCGCAUUAGUUGUGGAUGGGAUGACAACGCCAGGCCAUGAUCGGCACAUGCAGUGUUUUCCCACAUCUAUGCUGGCAUAGAGGGUGGAUAGAUGUUUCCCACAACCACCCCAAGUGUACUUUCCACAUUGCCUGCAAUCCACCCUGUAACAUAUUCUUUAGGAAUUUCUUCGCUGGCAAGAUUUUUAAAUCUUGUACUGAUAUUUGAUGUUGCUUCACAUCUCUUUAUCCUUCUCCUUUUUCAGUCUUUAUAAUGAAACCUUUGCUUUGAUGUAAUCGAACACAUUGUUGCAUAAUUAGCUAAAUAGUAAAAUAGAAACUUUGCCUGCUUAUCUUCUUGUUUGUAUCGCUUUGCCUAGUUAUAUUCCUGUCGUCCUAUUCACUCGCAACUAUCCUUUCCGCCCCUGUUUUCAUAAUAAUAAUAAUAAUUGUUGAUAGAUAUGUCAAUGCAUUAAAAAAGGUUGGCACUGUUUAAGAUUCACCAAUAGCAACAUAAAAGGAUAAAUGCAUGUGGCAAUACAAAAAUUCCAAUCAGGCUUUUAAAAGUAGGGAAAUGAUUAUAUCUAACCAUUGAUGUACCGCAAUUACAUAUUAGAUACACUACUAGAUGAGAGCUUUGCACGAAAAUGGUAAGAGUUUUUCAGAAGCAUAUUACAGCAGAAUAUAUCAAUUAUGAAUACAGGCAACCAAAACUGUAGUUUGCUACUACAGAUGGUAAGCUUCAACGGCAGACCCCGAUAACUACUAGUUAGGCAUUAUCAAAAUCUAGGACCCAAAAUCAGGAGGCACUGAUGCCGCCUCCCUCAGAUUAUGGGUCAAUUGUAGGUUUCUUUAUUGAGCUCGAUUCUACGGCACCUGCACUCAUCAAAACACGCUUCACUCCUCUUCCUACGAUGCCAAGACGAGUGACCGCCAUGGCCCCAUUUGUAUGAGCAGUGGAAACAGUUGGAGAGUCAAAAUGAUCUACGUUGCUGUUAGCAGGAGACAUAUGUGAAGAGUUCACUGCAGCAGGAGAUGCAUUAUUCUCACCGCCCCUUGACUUGCCAGAUGCCAUUCCCUGGAUUUCUGCAAUAAUUGACUUUGGGUCGGAGAUCAGCUGCUCUAGAUCUUCAAGCUACAAAUAUGAAAAUAGACAGAAUAAUAAAGUAUGUUUUACAUCAUUAUUAUUUAGUUCAAAUAGAUCAUCAAAAUUGCACUUGCCUUCUUUUCCAGGUCUUCAGCAAGUCCAACAAGAUUGUCAAUUUCUGAUUCUUUAUCUUUGACAGAUAGAACAGUCGGAGAGCCCUUAGACAGUUGUUCACCGUCACCCAAUUCAGAGGCAGCUGAAGAUGAUGCUAAUCCAGUGGAAAUCAUUAUCUCAUUCGUGAGCAGUUGCACCCGAGACUUGCAAACUGAGAUGGCCUUCUGACCGUAUGGAAUUGCUUCUUUGGGGUUUGAGCCAAUCUCCAAACACGUACAAAUCCGAAAAUUCCUAAAUUAUAGAGUUAAGCAGCAAAUAUAAAAACUAAAUGACAUUGAAGGGUUGACUUAAGGAGAUCCACAUUUCUUCAACUGACCAAGAUACCGCAUUAUUUAAUUGAACCUGGGACAAUCGAAGAAACAAAGAUAUUUCAACCUUAACAAGGAUACUGUUCAGCUAUUUGCCGGUGAUCUGGUUCAACCAGCUGUUGCAAAAUGGAUAGAGCUUUCUGGUAAUUGCCAAGUGAAGAUUCAAUGUCCUCUAAAGAAGCAUAACAGGAAAAAACAUGGAUGCUUCAAUAAAAACUGGUAAAGAGGGUUCCUCCCCCCCACCUCAACAAAGCAUACACAAGCUACAACGAGCAGUCAAGUACUGACCCCUUUCCAAGUCAACUUCAGCCAAUGCAGAUAAAAUAUCCACUUUCUCCAUGGUGUCACCCAACUGCUGUUUUUCAGCAAUUGCCCUCGCAGUAUCUAGCAUUUUCCAUGCCAAAUCCAAAUCCAAUUCCGAUUCAUCCAUGUCCUCAUUUGCUUCAGCUUCAAUCACAUCAUCAGUGUCGCUAUCGUCACUAUCCUGUCUUUUUCACCUGAAACACAGAACGAAAUCCAACUGAAUGUGUAAAAGAACAGUUAACAAUUUAGUUUAUGAACUAUAACAUUGAUCGUGGAGCAGCUGUUAUGCACAAUUCACAACAAUGUGAACGAAAAUGAAAGAGAUUCAACUACACUGCUCAAUUCAACUAGAGGUAAAUAAUCCCCUCAGAAUACAUACUGCCAUCCUGUUCCGAAUUGCUUCAUACAGAAGCAACUGAAGAUUCCCGAGUUACAGCACUUUUGGUCGGCCCCUCUUUGUUCGAGUCUUGCAGAAUCUCACCAUCCUUUUCCGGAACAGAAACCAGAGGACCAGUCUCCUCUUGAGCCUUGCACAGCAAUGCGCGUCCAUACAGAUAGUACACGUUGAGACAUGCGACUGCAAGUUCACCGUGAUGCAAACCCCUAGUAUGAAAAAACCUUAAAUGGUUAAAUGUAACUUCAACUACAAAUGGCAAUUCACUAAACCUCUGUUUGAUGGGUUUUUUCCCCUAAUUGCACUUUGAAACUAUCUUAAUUACUUCACAUAACAUAAAUUAUAAUAAUGCAAGUUAAUGAAAAAAGUUAAAAUUUUUAUUUUUCUUAAAAGAAAGGGAAAAAAAAAGGGGGUAAAACCAAACCCUGAAUCAUAGAUUUAGUUUAUUUCCUCAUAAAUUAAAUAAAAAAUGGAAAAGAGAUCAGAUGAAGCAGAAAGCACAAGGUUUAAACCUGAUUUCAAGGGCACGGCGAAAAAAAUGGGCAGCUUGGGUGAAAUCGUUUUCUUUAAAAGCCUUGGAUCCUUUCUCCGUCAACUCAUCUGCCAACUCCAGCGCCUUCGCUCGGCCAAUAUCCGGAGCAAUUCCACAGCUUUCAGUGUUGUUCUCAUUAUUGCAUGUAGACUCGGUACCUCCACGAACCGCAGAUUCGAUAGUGGCUUCUUUUGAACCUUGCACUUCUAGGGUUUCCACCUUUUUCGGUUCUGGGGUUGGCUCCGUCAUCGUCACCGGACACCGCCGUAACUUCUUCUUCAGCCAUCACUUUUUUGCUUUAAUAUUUACCGAAAAAUACAAAAGUAUGGAUAACCGAAAACAGGUCUUAGGCUUUCUCUUGCCCGCCUUCCAGAAAUCCUUUCUGGCGGAAAAUCGAGGUUUGAAAGGAAAGACUGAAACCUUGAACGACAAGCUUUGAAGGAGAGAAGUGGAGGAAGGGUACUUUCGUAAUUGAAAGGAAAAAGGUUUCUUUUUUGUCAAAUUAUUAUCAGUGUCAGACGAUUCUGUCAUUUUGAUUUCGAAAGGUAAGGCUCUGAGGAAAUGAAAGCAAAAAAUGGCUUCCACAACUCUUUCUCUCAGUCCGCUGUAUGUUUUUAUAUAUAAUAUAAUGCUUGCUGGAAUUAUAGAAUCUUGUUGAUGGCAUAUAUUUAAGAUGAUAAAAGGGAGCUGAUAAGAUAACAAUCUUCCAAACAAAACGAUUAUAGUAUUGUAAUCACUUUACUAAUCGAAUUAAAACACUUUCUGGGUUUCAACAUUGAUUAACAUUUUACGAAAAGAAAAGAAAAUUUUUAUAGGAUGAAUAGUAUUCACAAAGCAGUUGUUGUUCAGGUCUCAUCAUUCUCGCCGAGAUGAAUUACCCAACAAGCUGUUUGUUGAAGGUGAGCUCUGUCCACUUGACCAAUGAUCUUGUACUGAUAUAGGAGACCUAUUUUUUACUUCUUCUAAUGAGGUGGUUAAACAUUCUCCUUCCCUUUGCUUCAACUUCAUCAGUCUCCGGCUUCCCACAUCGGACAUCUUUGUUGACUUGUUGAAUGAUUUCUCACUUUCUUCAUCUGAGGAAGCUGCAGGAGACUCUAUGCACAUGCCUGGAACCCAAGCGCUGAGUCUGAUGUGUUCUAGCUCUUCCGCGACUUCGAUCAUGGUUGGCCUCAUGUCCCGAUGAGGAGCGAGGCAUCUAAAUGCUAGCUCAGCCACAUUAUGAAUUGAUGAAAGUGUCCAAGCAUCUCUAUGUGGAUCAAGGUAUGGAUCAAUUAUCUCAUCCACGCAGCCUCUUCCUAUCCUAUCGAUAGCAAGUGCAGCUAAGUUUACCUCAUUAUGAGCGCGUGAAAAGUCAACCACUUUCAGCGCAGUUAUUAUCUCCACAAGAACCACCCCAAAACUGUAUACAUCACUUUUAUCUGAAAGAUGGAAGUAUUGAUGGUAUUGAGGAUCAAGAUACCCUGGUGUUCCUUGAGGGGCAGUUGAGAUGUGGGAUGAUUCAGCCAUCCCAAGCCUGGAAAGACCAAAAUCAGCUACCUUUGAUCUAUAGUUGUAAUCCAAGAGAAUAUUGCUAGACUUAAUAUCUCGGUGAAAAAUAGGCGGAUUCACGGAGUGAAGAUAGGCAAUAGCCUUAGCAGUUUCAGCAGCUAUGGUGAGCCUUACUGUCCAUGGAAGUCCUGAACCCCUCUCUCUUUGUAGAUGCUGUGAUAAAGUUCCAUUAGGCAUAAACUCAUAGACCAGCAUAGGUUCACCCUCCUCCAUGCAGCAACCUAAGAGGCGAACAAGAUUUGGGUGACUGACCGAGGAAAGGAGCUUAAUCUCAUUCAUUACUUGGUCAAUACUAUCAGGAUCUCUAUAUCUGAACCUUUUUAUGGCAACCCAGUCAUCGCUGUGGAGUUUCCCUGCAUAAACUGUACCAUAGGCUCCAGUUCCCAGUCUCUGUUUAUCACAGAAGCCAUUAGUAGCUCUUUCAAUUUCUCUAUAGGCAUAGCAAGGAACACUUGAAUUGCCUGCGGCUUCGGAUAUAAGGCGCUUUGCACUCAUCUGUUUGUUGAUGUUAUUAGAACGCCUUCGCAAAUAGAAACAUACAAGAGCCACAAUACCCAUUAGCAAUGCCCCACCAACAAGCCCUAAGAAAUUAAACAAACAACGUGGUCCAUUAGUUACUUAGAGAAGAGAACACAGAAUCUGUAAGAGGGAUGGAUGAUGAACACAUUAAUACAAUUAUUUUGAAUUACAGCCAAAUUACCUCCAACCAGAACACCAACUCUUGUAGUUCCCCCGCAAUUGCCAGAAAUGUAUUUUGAAGCAUUGCAGCUAGGCACUGAUUAAUGUUGCAUUCAGAAACAUAUUGUCAAAAACUAUAGGCAUGAAACCGAUAAAAUAUGCAAAAGUCGACUUUCCAAUAGACAAGCACCGAUCAGAAUCAAGAAGACAUUUGUGUAUUUGUUGCUAAAAUAUUUUCAUAAAUGUAGUGCAUAGUUGAUAGGAAGAUCCUUCCAACAAGUUGGUUUACCAAAGAAGUUAAAUUUCGGCCAUAUUUCCUAAAUUACAAAUCUUUAUAUUUUAGGAGGUAUGAAUUACCAUAUCCAAAUCUACUUUUAUGCAUGCCCUUAACUUCCACGAGGGAGCCAAGUCAAAUAUCAGACAAAGAUGUAAGGCAGAACAGUACAUUGUGCCCAAGAAUGGAAAACUCCAUUAGUUUUACCAAGUCAACAACGCUGUUUUUUGUUGACGUUGACCUCAUUGUUGCCUUUCUUGAAGAGGCUUAGAAUUAUGGAUUAUGAUGAAGGUGAGCGAUCAGUUGGCCCUCACAGCCAAUUUUAGCCACCAUUGAGGUUGAACAUUCAUGACACGCAUUACCGGUAAAAAUAAGUUUCAUCCUUUUGGUGCAAUUCAACCACUAAAUAAGAUGCAACUUUACAAGCAGAAACUCUUGAUCUUGGUUCGUAGUAAUGCCAAAAUUUGAUGAACCAUAGUGCAAAAGCAUCAAAUUGUAUAUGAUUUCACCAAGAGAUCAACUCCUACAAUUCUACGCCAUUUUCUUUUCAAAUGUAGUUAAACUGUUAAAGCUACCAUUUCUAGAGAAACAUUACUAGUCAAGAAUCCCACAAUAAUUUUGCUCUAAAAUCCAAGUCAAAAAAAAAAAAAAAACAAACCCGACAAAAUAAAAUAACAAGUAAAACAAAAUCUUAGACUUGGAAGCGUUGACUAACCUCUCCGGCAACCACCGCCUUCUUUGAAUCCAUCUCCUUCAAACCCUUCCUUGCAAAAACACUUACACCCCACCGUCUUGUUACCAUUCUUGACGUCCGUACGGUUAGCGUUUGGGUCGCAAUUACAGUCUUUAACCCACCAUUCCAAUUUAACUCGUUCCAAAUCCACAGAGACCGCUGAGUUCCUCGCCGGGUCAACUACAAUAGCGGUCGAGGAAAACAAGAAACGGCACUGCGUUUUAUUAACUUCCUCGAAACUCAACAGCCGGACGCCGUCACCACCGCUGGAGAAACAGCUUAUGUUGUCACUCCUAGCAGCGCAAGGGCCAGCUUGAAACGACCUUUCUAGAAACAUUGGCCUGAUUUCACAAGGACCUGGUAAGGGGUUGGAACAGUUUUGGAGAAGGAGAGUGUUGUCCACCGAGAGCGCGUAGUUCUCACCGGAGAGAACGGCGAGUGAAGCAAGCGGUCGGUAGCAUUUGGCGGGCAGGUCGAUGAUGAUGUCGUUGGAAGUUAUGUUGAGGACAUGGAAUUCUCCAAUUCCGACCCCGGUCGAGUUGCAGUUGAGUUGGAUGGGGCAACCCGGUGUGAACCCGAAUGGAAAGGGUAUGGGGCUUGAGAAAUUGCUGGUUUCGCAGGAGCCUUGGCACUUGUUGUUCUCCGAGUUAACUGAGUUUGCUCGGUAGAUAACAAAAAGAAAUGUUAUGGUUAUUGAGAAGGGUAAUUUUGCAUAGCACGACAUCAUUUUCGAUUCUCAAAGAACAAAACAGAGCAACAUCAGCUUCCUACAAAAAAGAAAAACAAGCUUGAAUAAGAGGAACAGAGUAAAAAGUAAAAUAUGUAGGUAUUGAAAAAAAAAGAGGGAGUUAUUGAAGGGGGGGGAGGGAGUUAAAGCAGAUCGAUUGAUGGCGUUGGGAAGUCCAUCAAAACUCAAUAAAUGCUAAUACAAAGAAAGGUCAAUGCAUUGUAAAUUCGGGAAAUUUCUUUCAAAAAGGAAAUUUUUAAUGAAUGGGCUUGGUUUAGUUGAGAAUAUUUAUGAGCUUACCUUGUUAUUGUUUCUUCUUCAAUGGCUGCAACAAUUGCCUCUUCUUUAUUCCAAUAACAGAGCUUCAAAUAAAUAUCUGAGCUUUGCUAACGCUUCUUUAGAAGUACUUUGAUUUUGGGUUUUUGGUUUUCAUUUCAAAUCAAACAAGAAAAAAAAAAAGAGAGAAUUUUGGAGAAGAAGAGGAAAUGGGAAAUGAGUUGAAAGUUUUUAAAUAUAACACAGAAAGAGUUGUUAAAACUCCAUUGACAAGUGUAUAGUGAAUUAAUUAUUAUGAAAUAACUGUUUUACCCUUUUAAGUUCGGGAGCUGAGGGAAAUGAUUAGACGGAAAUGUCCUUCGAAAAGUAGGUUAAAUUACGGAGAUAGACCAAACCAGAUAUUAUAUUGUGGGUCAGCACCGCACACAAUAAAAAAGAGGGUUUCGAGUUUUGACUAAUAACAUAGAUAUAUAUAUUUUUUAAUAAAUUUAAAUACAAGUAUAAAAACAAUAAUAUUUUAGCAAAUUUUAAAUUGUAUUUUUUAUUUAAUUAAUUUUUAAUUUUAAUUCAUCGAUUAUGUUUUAUUUAUGAUUUAUAUUAUAAACAUUGACGUAGAAUCUUGAAUUUUAAUCCUAUAAAUAAAAACAUAACUCUUAAAACAAUUUUUUUCAAUUAAAAUCCAAUGAAAUUAGUCAACGAGGGCUUAGUAUCAUCAACAAAUGGCGAGACUCUAGGUUUUAAGUGUCUAGAUUCGAAUCUUAUUAUGCACAAUUGUCAUGUGUAAGUAUCUCAAUCUUAACAUGUGUAGUUUUUAUAAGUGGAUUUUGUUAUAUUAUAUUUUGAUUUUUUAUGCAUUUGUAAUUGUAUUGGUUUGAUUAUACACUUCAACUUAGGUUAGUUUUUCUCUGUUUUUCUUAUUUUUAAAUCAUUUUUGUAUUUGGGUGGGUUGGCUUUUUUUUUAUGGUUUGAAACCAUUAAUUUGAGCUAAAGAACAGUUCUACCAGUUCAGAAUUUGUUGGUCAACCCUAAUUCUGAGUUGCUCACUCUAAAACCAAUCUAACCCCUUUAACUAAAUUAAUAUAUUAGUUAAUUCUUGAUUCAAUUCAGUUUUGACAAUAUUACUUUAGGUGCCAACAAGAGGUUUAAUCACGGCUCCCUUACAUAAUUGGCACUCCUUCCUUACUAUAAUAAAGAUAUACUAGAUUAUCACGCACUAGGUGAAAAAUUAUAUAAUAAAUAUAUUUACUAAAAAUGUAUAUAAAAAUAAAAAGAACCUUAAAUGUAAAAAUUAAAUAUUUAAAAUUCGUUGUUUCAGGAGUUCAAAUUUUACUAGGGUUAAAUAUUUAUUGAUUUUAUAUAAAAAUAUAAAAUGAAAAAAAUAUCUUAUAAAAAUUAAGAUUAUUUUAAUAAUCUCGUAACAAAAAAUUAUUAUGAUAAUUUCUCAAUCGAACUCUAUUCAAUUGGCUCGUGACAUUAACUCAUUUAAUAUAAGUAUAGAUAUAAAAUAUUGUUAUAAUAAGUAUGUGGCCUCUUUUUUUCAAUUUAGUGAUACUAUUUAAUUUGUUAUAAAAUAAGUUAUACUGUUUAAUAUAUUAAAAGUGGAUUAGACUUUGAUUUAGCGGUAAAAAUUAAGGUUUUUUUUGGUAAAGGUAGAAACUUUAAUUUAAUUUCAUCUAAUUAUAUUUUAUUUUUAGAUAAGGUUUCAUUACUUUAAUGGUGAUAGGUGAAGGUGAUAAUUGAUUAUAAUUAUAAUUUUAAAAUAUAAAUAAUAAAUCAAAUCAAAUUAAGCUCAAAAUUUUUAUUACAGAAAAACUAAUCCAAAUUGAGGACUUGUCUUUUUCAUUUUUCUAUUUGGAGAAGAAGUCAAGAGGUUUAAAAGUCAACAAGACAAAAGUGGCAUUCUAUUAGAGGACUUUUCUUUUUAUAAUUAUUUAUAUAUACUAGGAUAAGUAAAACCCAAAUUGAAAUUCUGGUAAUAUAAAAACCAUGUGGAAAUUUUUAGUUAAUUUCUACCCCUUAUAUUUCUGAAUUUAUAGAAACAAAAACAAAAGUUUACCAUCACAAGAUUAUUACCUUUGUUGCGAUAAGCUGUGGUUUUUUUUAAAAAAAGUAAUAUUCUAGUCGUGAUAAUUCUAAUAUUUAAAUUUGGUUCAAGUGUGGAGGAAGAAGUCCAAUUAUUUGCUGGUAAAUAAAUAUAUAAACUUUUAAGAUGACAUCUACUUUGAAUUUCGGAUUAAAUUUAACUUGAUUUCAAAGAUAAAGCCCUCUCCUCAAUUUCUUUGCAAGCAAUGCUAUUGGUAAGAGGAGCAGCAACUUUUGACCAGUGAAGGUUGUAUUAUUUUCAUAUUUCAGGGCCUUGAUUUGUGCAGCAUAGACGAAAAAAAGCUUCUUCAAGGGUGUCAAGCAUGGCGUAUAAUUAAUUAAUUUUUUUAAUGCUUUCCAGAUAACAUUGAACGACUUUCCCGUUAGGUUAUCUACUUUCUGUAAAUUUUCACCAUAUUCCUGGCAAAUUACAAUAGAAUUUUGGCAUCAACUUUGAGAAGGUAGUGCCAUUUUACUUCCACAUUAACUUUUAGGUACAAAAGUUGAAAUGGUGCAAAGAAAAUUACAGUUAAACAAUGGCAUCGCAUGCAAGUAUAGAAGAUUAUUAAGAAAGGAGCAUGUGUUUAUUUGUAGAUUUCCACCACUUCCACUCUCAUCUUAUUUUUCUUAAAAAUCACAUUUUAUUUUCAAAUCAUCACUCGAGCGAAGUCCCAUACCACUUCACUCAACCCAUUCAGAAUUAUCGAUGAAUAAAUAUUUGAAUAAACUCUUUAAAAUAAAGAAAUAAUUUUCAAAUUAACAAGUAAAAAGAUGUUCCAAUUGAGAAUUUCAUUACAUCAUUCAAGAUAAACUCGUUUUAAAUUAACUGUUUAUGUUAUAGAUUUGUGAAUGAGUUGGUAAUGAUAAAUCCAUAAAUGUUUUUUUAUUCUCAAAUUUGAAAAGGCAGGCAAAAAGAACACUUCAGUUUGAGUUCUAAUAUAUGUAGUGUUUGGUUGAGGGUACAUAGAUUUGGAAAUGGAAGUCAAAGGGGGGUGGCACAUGGCCAGCCCUAAUAGAUUAGGGCCAACUUUGCUUUUUCAUAAUGUCAACAAUAGAAGAAAAUGAUGCAAUUAUAGACCAAGGCUUCUACUUAUUAUAAACCUUUUUCUCAACUCCAAUUUAAUUCACUAAUGUUUAAUAUAUAAUAUUUAGGGUAAAUUAUACCAGUAGUCAUCUAAUUAUGUUCUUUUUUCUAGUCAUCCAAUCAUGAAAAAUUAUAAAAUUUUCACUCAAUUGUUCAACUUUUAUCUUUUUUGGUUAUCCAACUAGCUUAGAUUUUUGGAUGUUUCUAUUUUUACGUUAACUCGCCGAUGACAAAAAAAGACAAAAUUGAAUAUUGAGUGACUAUUUUGUAACAUUUCAUUAUUAAUAAUUAAGUGACUACUAAUAUAAUUUAUCCUAAUAUUUAUUAGGAUAAAAAUCACUCACCCCUCAAGUUUACUGUAAAAUAUAAUUUCCCUUAUAGUUUGAAGAAUACUCUAAGCAAAUUUAAAAUAAAAAGACAAUUAACUCUAUUUAAUUUAUUCAUUUACCUUACGAAAAUUUAAUUCUAUUUUUGAACUACCAUAAAAUUAAAUAUAUUUGACUUAUGUAUUAAAAAAAAUCUAUUUCACUUCAAUUAAAAUAAUGUAUCUUAAAUUUAUAUUUAAUUUAGUUCAUGUUAAUCUUUAGAUGAAUUUAUUAAAUUAUUUUUAUAAAAAUUAAUUAAUAAUCAUUAUUUAAAAAGUUUGAAUAAAAAAUUUACUAAAUAAUAAGAAAAAUGAUUAACCACAAAGAAAAAAUAUUGAGGACAGAACAAAUAAAUAGAAGGCUUAAUUAAAUAAAUGUUGAUCCUUCCCGCUGUUAAAAAGAAAAAUCAGAGCUAUCAUUAAAAUCUAAUUAAAUAAAAUAUAUAUUAAUAUUAAAUAAAAUUAAAAAAAAUCCUCCCCACCAAAGCAGGGUACGGAAUCGCGUUCCAGUCCACAACCAAAGCAACCUAUCAAUAUCUGUUAGUAUUCAUGAGUGACAAACAAUGUGGGGAUCCUGAAAUCCCGUUGUAACAUUACAUCCUUAAGCUGCACCACAAAAACAAUCUGAAUCAACUUCAAAUGCAGCACUCAUCCCACCACCUCCUUACCUUACAACUCUUCUUUUCAAACGUAUUUGUGAUUUCAGUCUGAGAUGGUCUCUUUGGAAUCAAUUUCAGCCAUACCAUCAAGUUAGAUUAAGUUUCAAUUUGCAUAGUUUUACACUGCGUGUUUUAGAUUAAACCUCGCGUUGGCUCAAACUUAGGGGGAGGGAUGGUGGUGGGAGAGAGGGAGAAAAACGAUGUGAUACCUCACACCCGACUCAAUUGCCGAGCCCAAAUGUGAGACACCAUAUUUGUUGUCAAAGCAACUCAAACUGACUCGUACAUUGAAUUCAUCAUGAUAAUCAAACAUUAAUGCAUAAGUAACCCAACUGAACACGUCAAUUUAACUUAACUUAACAUGCAAGCAACACCUGUUUCAUUGAGUAAACACCAUAUAAUGAUCAUGCAUACCAACAUAACCUCAUAUUCAUACCACUUCACAUAUAUACAAACUUAACUUGGCUUACGAUUCACUAGCAUUGUAAAUUUAAAUCAUAGAAAGGGGCUUUAAAGCUAGCUUUGACACUAGGUGCAUGCCAACUCGAAACAUUAUAUUUUAAAGAUUAUACAAACAUUGCUCAAUUGAGAAGUGAGUCAUGGAUGCUGUCGAACUUUUUGUACCCACGAGACCUAAUCGUCACUAAAUUAUUUGUUCGUCUUCUGUUCUUAGCCUUACGUUGUUCCUCAUUUUCAACCUUGCUCAAUGACACUAGUGUAGAAAUGAUAUUAAUUUUUCAUCAUUAAAUAUAUUAUUCAAACCUUUCACUUUAGUCUCCUUAAAUCCUAUUAUUUAAAAUUCUCGUAUUUUACUAUUUACCCAAUCAAUUUAUAACUAUUCUCCAGGGACCUCAAACUAUCAUUAUUUACUAAUAAAUCUCAUAGUCCUUAUUUUUUACAAAUAAAUCCUUAGUAAUUUAACAAACAUCACCACUUCAAUUCUAAGAUGUAUAACAUAAAAUCUAAAUUCAACAACUAAGAUUUCACGGCUUUCUAACUUAAUAUUCUACAUUAAAACUUCAUCAAUUUAUCAAUCUAACAAGUGAGUUUUUCAUAUCUAUCAUUGAUUAUAAGAAUCACAAAGAAAACCUUACCAAUUUUUCUUACGGCAAUGAAGGAAAACCAAAGCCAAAACUCCUUUCUUCUUUCUUGGUUCGGCGGGAGAGAUGAUGAGAAUGAAUAAGGUUUGUGUCUCUUGCUCAUUUACUAUACCUUAUUUCCAUCUAAUAACAUUAAUCAAUGGCCCAAAUUUCUCAUGAAAGAUCUAGUGGAUGUUUAUGGCAUUCAUCAAUGCUUGCUACUAACUUCUAAGUCAACUAUGGGUUAAUUAAGUUUAAGUCCAUGUUUAAUUGUUUAGUAAGGACCUGCUCAAAUCUUAAAUCAAAUCUCCUUAUUUACUCACCUUAUAAUUUAGUCUUUGUACUAUUUGUGUAAUAACUUAAUCAAUUUAAUGGUUCAAUUGUUCUACCAUCUAACUUUGUACUUAUCUCUAUAAUUUUUUGUUUUAAAAUUUUUGGAUGGCUCGGUUUGAUAAGUUCAAUUUCGAAAUUAAUUUUUUUGGCACCAGUAGAAAUCAGGUUGUUACAAGUAACGAGGAGAGGGAGGUGUUGAUUUGAUUUAACAUUAAUAUAAAAAUUUUAUUUGAUUAUUUAAUAAGGUGAUGGUGUGGCGCUUCUUAAUUAGCUCUGACUAUUCUUUUAUAGGAAUAUAGUGAUAAAGACCAACUUUAAUUACGGAAAAUAAUUUAAAACCGAAUUCAAACAAAUGACAUAAUUUAAGAGCCUCAUAUUAAAUUAACCCUAAAUUGGAUAAUAAUUAAGUAAUAAAGGGUUAUUUAAAAUUCAUUUAAUAAUUAAAACUUGAAGAUAGUAUAUUUUUUUUAUCAAGCUUCAACAGAUAAGUGGGUAUCUUUCAAACCAUAUCGGUUUCCAUAAUUAAAAGAGGGUAGGCGAAUUUUAUAUCGGUUUAAAUACUUUACCUUCUAAAAAAAUUAAUUAUAAAAUAUGAAAAAUUCCAUAAUUAAAAGAUAAAUAAUUAUAAAACAAUAAUAUAUGAUAAAUAAUAUAAUAAUAAAUGUUAAAAUAUGCUCCAAAUUUUUGUAUUUUUUAUACACUUGGAGUUUAAUUCCCCUAAUUUUAUUUUAAAAAAUUUAUGAAUUUGAAAAUGCAAGUUUAAUUGUUAACACGUUAAAAUUCUUUUGUUUAAUUCAAGUUCAUUACAAUUUUUUUUUGUUACAUAAUUAUCAAAUGAGUAAUUUCUUUUAACUUUAAGAUAUCACACCAAGAAAAUAUUUAUUUUAGCCAUUUAUUUAUUUUUUCUCCUUUUCAACCCUUAAACUUGUAUUUUUUUUAUCAAAUCAUCCCAAAAUGAAAUGAAAAGGUUAAUGUUUUUUAACUUUGCGAACUAUACACACGCCAACAUUUAAUUAAUUUUUUUAAAAUUUAAAAAUUUAAAAAUUUAAAAAUUAUAAAAGUUAUUUUUAAAAAUUAAAAAUUAUAAUUUUUUUAAUUUUUUUAAUUUUAAAAAAUAAUUAAAUGUUGAGAUGUCAUCUAUGUGGCAAUCCACGUGUAUGCCACGUCAACAAAGUUGACAAACGUUAAUUUUUUCCAUCCAUUUUGAGUGAUUUAACAAAAAUGCAAGUUUAAAAGUUAAAAGAGGCGCAAAAAUAAAUUAAAAGCUAAAACGAUCUUUUGUAAAGUUGAAAGGCCAUAGAAGCAAAUUAUGCCUUUUUUGUUUCUUUAUAAAAUAAGAAAAAAAAACAACAAAAUACCCCCAUAAUAAUAGACCUAUUCAUAGGUCGGGCCACCCUACUUAACCUGAAGGCCCGUCCGAAAAGUGAAAGAGUUUGGGCAAAAAAUAAGGCCCAAAAAAUGGGUUGGGCAAAAAAUAAGGCCCGUUUAAAAAACGAUCUAGGCCUCGAGUAAGACAUUUUUGAUCCAGUCCCCGCCCAACCCAAAUUCACAAAAGGACAAAAAAAUCUAUUUUUUUUCUAUUUUAAUGCUAUUUUCUUGUUACUUUCUCCUUAUUUUGCUACUAUUUUGUUAUAAUUGCUGAAAUAUUGUAAAACACUUAUUUUAUUAUUAAAUUUGUUAUUAUUUUAAAAAUAUUUACUUGUUAAGUUGCAUCUAUCUAUCGAAGUGUUAUUUAAAUAUACAUAUUUUUUAAAAUUUAUUUUUAAUUUGUUGAAAAAUAUUUAUUUUAAUCUUUUUAAUAUUUUUGAUGUAUUAUAUAUAUUUAUAAAUUAUAUAAAAAGUUUAAUAUGGGCGGGUUAGGUCACUUUUGAGUUUUAACAUCUUUAUCUGGGCCAAACUUCGGGAAAUUUUAAGCCUAUUUUUUAAACCAGGCCUAAUAUUUUGGUUGAACCCAACGCAUGAACACCUCUACAUAGUAAUAUAAUUUAUUUAAAACAUUUUAAUAAUUUCAUUAACUAAGUUGAUAUCGAAUUGACUCAUGACACCGACUUAAUGAUGCAACUUAAAAAAAUAGUAUAGAUAUUCCAAUUUAUAAUUAGUUUUCUAUUAAAUGAAAUUAUUAAUAAAAAAAAGUUACAUAAGAAAUGAUAACACUAUUGAGAGCAGGAGGAAUUCGAAGCUGAUUCAAACGGAUCUUUUAACAACUAGAGAAAUGAUAACAUUAUUGAAUUAAUCACGAACACAGACAAAAACUUCCUAAGUAAUAAAUAAAAAAAUUAAUUAAUAUACAUUUGCACUAGAGCAUAGUGUGUUGCGAUAUGGAACAUUAGUGGAGUUAUAUUUUCAUAGGUUGACUGAUGUCAUGAUCUUCCUAGGGCAACAUUACAAUAUAGGAAUAUAAAUAAAUGGUUUUAAAAAUACUACAGCUAUUUACAAUCAGCCUAGCUAAGGGGUUGGUUCAUCUAUCAUUAACUUUGGUCAAGAAAACUCAACAGAAAGCCACUCACAAUUCGGCGAGCUACAGGGUUAGGGAUACUUCGACACAAUCUUCCAUCAAUAUAUGCCAGUAUACCUGAAAGCACAAAUUUGACUAUUCCCCAUUUCCAUAUAAACCUUACCUUCUGCACUUCUCCCGUGUCUGCAGGGACAAUCUCUUUCGCUUCAUCUUUCUCUGCUUCUUUCUUCGAUUUGAUGAUUGCGAUAUAUUUAUCCGCUUGACUUCUUAAUUUACGGAUUGCAAAACUCACAAACAGGUGCUCACACAAUGUUAUGAUGGUCGGUCCUAUUCUCCAUUCCUGGAGUAACAAAUUAUCCUCCAUUAAUAGAAUGUGAGUGUGGCAAUAAACAUCAGUGUUCAGCACAGUCCAUUUACAAUUACAGAAUGCACAUACGCAUGUUCCCCUUUCUCGGUAUCCUUUCUUCCCUCUCAGAGAUCUCUAUACUAUAUUUCCAGUUUCCAAAGAGAUGCAGAAAUCAAAAAGACCCACUUAAAAAAACAAAGCAGAGAGAGACAGAGACCAAUAUAAAUGGGAAAACACAAACACACAUGGUAUCAUUAUACAAAUCAAUCUUGCACUGACUGGAUACUAGAAAACGUAGUGGAAAGGAUCAGAAAUGGCAACUUGGAUUGUUCAAGAACCCUCAAAAGCACAAAAAUUUAAUAAAGUGGCAGAUUAAAUUGAUGGAUAAACUUACACUUUCUCCUUGAACAUUGCGAAAAGGGCGGGAAGCUGUUGCAGGAUCUCCUUUCAAUAAUGCUUUGCUUAUAAGAAACCCCUUCACACUAUCCAUGAUCUCAUUUAUGAGGGAACUGUUAGGAGGUAGAUUUUUGAGGAAAACCUAAAUAUAGAAUAAAUCAGAAAAGAGCAUGUAUGAAACUCAUCCGUCAAGUUGGUAAGGCAAAGCAAGAUUCUGAAAAUGAAGGUGGGUUGGGAAGCCAAAAUUUAUCCUCAAAAGCAAGGUAUACUUGGAUGAACACUUUGUUAGAAGUGAUAAUAUAAUUAUGAAAGACCCACAUAAAUUAGAUGUCCCCUUUCGCUGCUAUCUAAAUCUCAAAUAAAUAAAUAAAUUUUGUUGCAGUACUGAUAUUUCUAUUUUCUCACUUAAUCAGUUACCUGGUCAUCAAUUACUCUCACUCGAAGAUAUUCUUGCCUGUACAUUGAGUCUAACAUAGCUUGUAGAUAUCCUUCAAUGUAUAACUGCAGAAGUUGAAACCUUAUCAGUGACCAUUAAAGCAAAAGUAAAACAAAUAGAUUAAUAACAUCAGAAAAAAUCAGCAUCCAUUGAGCAGUGAGGCAAAGCAAUAACAAUCUGAAUUCCUACAGAAGUAAUCACAUAAAGAUGCUGCUUAAUAUCACAUGCAAAAAAACACUAGUUUUCAUGUGUGUUUUUCAGGUUCUCUGGUCAUGGUUCUGUAUCUGACACUCGUUACUAGGUAUCUAUAUCCUCAGCAUUAUUAGUCAAUACUGCUUUCAUUACUGUAAAAGGAGACUUGAACCGAACAGUAUGAUAUAGAAUUAAGAGUACAAAAAACUGAGAUUGUUACCUCAUCAACCCCAGGGCUCCUAUCAAGCUUGAUUUUUCUGUCUGGCCCACUCCCCAUCAAGGCUGUACCCAGGACCGAAGGCUCCAUAGCCAAUUUUAAUAUUCCUUGGUGAAAUCCACUCACCUUUAGAAUAAACAGUCGACUGUCACUUUCAACAGUUAUCCUUAGUAAUACUUAGAAAAUAAGCUAGAAAACUUAUGCAAAUAUAUGCAAAAUGACACAUUGACUGGUACCAUCCCAUUGAAACCGCUUGCUUCUGCCCCCUUCAAAACAGAGUCAGAUAUUUCGGUAACAGCAGCAAAAAUUACAUUAGAGCCUGCUGUUUUUAGCUGCAGAGUUGGCACAGAAAUAACAUAGGUAAGUGCAAAGGAAGUAGAAAGAAAAUCACAUUCCUUAUUGAAGGUUUAUAGAACUUACAGUUUUACCCAGAUCACCAAAGUAGCGUUUUGUUCCCGAGAAACCUUUACCAUCAAUACAUCUACUGAUGAAUUUAAAGGUACCUGUGCAAAAUGAACAAAGCAGAAAUAAAAUAUCUCAACUUACAAACAGCCAUAAUCAAUUAUGAUAAAAUAAAUAUAUCUGAAUCUAGAACCUGAACUUAAUCACAGAAUAAGCAGUCUACACAUAAUCAGUGCCUUGAAAAGUAUAGUCCCCAGAACUAAACUAUGAAUCUUUUAUAUUUCUCAUAACUCUUAUAAUGCAAAAUUAAAAAAAAAAGGGAAUUCCCAACUCCAGUUUCAGUAAUGUAGCAUAUGCACCUAAAAUCUAGUGAUGAUGACCCUCUCAUAUAUGCCCAAAUAAAUCAUGCAUGCAGAAUAGGUAAAACAAAUAUCAUAGAUGCCACUAUUAAUUCCAAGGUAAACCCAUACAGGAAAGGAAGACUUGAGUGAACAAACCAUAUAGAAACCAUACCCCAUUUGAAACCAGGAAGAUUCAUCAAGCCUUGAGAAGGAUCAAAAAAGAUAUCAAGGGAAGACGAAGCUAAGUCAUCAAAUAUCGACGCAAAAGCUGGGGGCAGUAGUUGGCUACCUUUAGCAAUAGAAAUGGACCUCAUGGCAUACCUGGUUAAUUAUAUCAUUCUGAAAGUGAGGAUACCAUAGUUGCAAAACAAGCAAAACAUAAAUGAAGAUCUUACCAUGAAUAAUGUUGUGCACAUCUUAUUAACAAUUCACGAAUUGUUACUAGAGCAUGAGUAACCGAGACACCAUUUAGCUCCACAGCCACCUUUUUUAUAGGAGGAACCUAUAGAAGCAAAAGAAAAGUGUAUAAGAAAAAGGAAAAUGACCCUACUCAAGAUGACACCAAAGAACGCAUGUUUCACUAUAUAAGAACAACUAAAAUCAUGCAAGCAUAUAUUAAGAGCGAGCACAGAACACAACUCUCACCUUUACAACACUAUGUAGCAAUGUUCUCAGAGCUUCCUGGGCUGAAUUAUAACUAGAAUAGGAUUCCCCAGGAACAAAAGUUGCAAUAAUCUGUAGGUAGAAGAUAUAUUAAAACUAAUGUGGUAGUUAAGACAGUCAUCAAGAAGAAAUAGAAGCAAAAAUAUAUUUCCUUUAUUGGGUGGAUCUCAAAAUUGUCAAAAUAAAACUGCUGACUCGGAGAACUUGAGUCACUCAGAGAUGUUCUCCAAAAUGAGACGAUUUUCAUCAAAGUAUCCUCAUCAAUAUUCAAAUCAAUUGGCUGCAUAAGAAAAAGCAACAAACUUUGAGCUGCUGUACUCUGUUCAGGGAAGUAAAUAGUACCUUCAAAUUUAAGCUAUUCUUCACAGUUCCCAACACCCAUAGUUUCUAAAAGAAAACAGAAACAAAAGGAACAAAUGCUACAAUGGUUCAGGAUAGAUCCCAGAAAGAUAAAUACAGACUGCCUCAUUAUACCUGCAGAAUAACAGAUGCAUAUUUAACUUGUUUAACAUCAGCGCCUGCUGAAAGUAGGAAAAAUAUGAUUUUGAGCAUGCUAUCAUUUGCAUCACUGUCAUCUAACCGAUGUCUACGUAGCAUUGAUGCAACAGGAGCUCCCAUCCACUUGACAUCAACCGUCAAUGACUAGAAUGAUGGUUAAAUCAAGGAGCUAUUAGUACUCACAACACUAAAAGUAUAUCAAUUUAAACUCUUAGCACAUUUUAAGGUAUCAAACACAUGGAAAUAUUUUACCUGAACAGCAAUCUGGUUAUAUUUCUGUUGGUCCAUGAACAAAGAAUCCAGACUAAUGUUAUGAAGCCUUGCAACAGCAAAUGGUGUAUAACAAAGUGUUCCACUCUGGUUUAAAUCCUUGACAAUAUUAUAACAUCAAACAAAGACAAUAAGUUGAACAGACCAAUAUCAUCACGAUGCACUUUACCAAACCUAUGAUAAAUAUAAAAUGCAAUCAAAUAAUCAAAGUCUGAUUUCUACUUUUCAUGCUGUCCAAUUUUACUUUUUGGGAUUUUCACUUUAGCAAAAUCGAAAUCUUUUAGCAAUUUAGUCAAUCCAAGGUCUAUUCUAUGUGUUUCCAAAAGUUCCUUUUAAGUGCAAUACAGUUUUUAUGCCUUAAGUAGUUAGUUCACAAGUCAACAAGGCUUCAUGAUUGAGCACCUAAGACCAAAGUAGAAGAAUAUUCAGUCAUUAAGGCCUGGAAGAGAAUUGUCUAGUUUGGCACAAUUAGAUCUAAGCAGAUAAACAUGGCACCUGCAAAUCAGAGUGAUAUUGCCCUUUGCUAGUUUUCUGAGUUCAGACUAUGAAGGAAUGAAAUUAUCACACAAAGAGAGAGGGAGGAGAGACCUCUUUUGCCUUCUCAAGCAAUUGGAUAGCAAACUGGGAAACUCUCAUCCGAAUCUUAGCACAUGAGUGAAAAGCUUUGUCUUGCUUAUGACUAUCUGAAAACUCACAAAUCCGCAAAACACGUGUGGGACCAUCUGCAUAUACUUCAUAUCCCACCCUUACUGCAUUCAUGCCCUGAUGCUCACCAAAUCUACUUCUCUUACCCUUGGAUUUUUUGUCAAAAAGUAUAUGAGACGCUAACCUUUCUUGUGUAAGUUUAUAAAAGGGCUUCCAUGUCCGCACUUUGUCUAAGUUGAUUUCUCGCGGCAGAUUCAUAUCUACAAGGAAAAUCAGCAUAGCCAUAAUUUCAUAAGCAUUUUUCUCAACAUUUAAGCUAUGGACCACUAAUGUGUAUAUUCAUGUAACAGCCCUGAACGACUAAAUAUGCUUUGUCUAAGUAUCUGCUUAUUGAUCUAAUUGUAUAUUAGUGUAACAGUAAAGCAUAGUAGAAUUCUACAGAAAACCGUAGAAGAAUAUAUUUUCUAGCAGCAUCCCUGUCUAAUCCUCCACCUAAAUUUUCUAUGGUACAUGAACACUUCCAUUCCAACUAAAGACAGAUGAGAAAAUAUAUAAUUCGAACACUAUCUUAAGUUUGACACAUCAAAAAUUAUGCUCACUGAAGUCAAAUGAACUCAUUAGUAGAACAAACUUAAGGCUCACAACAGAGUGAGAUCCAAAAUAGAAUUCUCAAUUAUAAAAUGCAAGAAAAGAUCAAUAUACUUGGACGUACAAGUUCUUUAUGAAUCCCUUUUACUUGUUCUACUAUGAAAAUCAAAUUCCAGAAAAUUCAUUGCAAAGCAAUUACACAAUAAAGAAUAAACCUACAGAAACUUAUCAAUACUAGCUGUAAAAGCAACCUUAAAAUGUAUGUUAAUGAUAUGAACAAGGCAUUUGCAUUCAGCUGGUUAAAUUGUUUUCCACGAAAGUAGAAACUGAUUUACCAAGGCAUUUUAUGCUAAUAUAUAUAAAAAAAAACCCCUACAUCUCUCUUCCCAAAAGCAGCCAAGAAAGCCCUAAUGGUGAAAAGGCAACUAGCAAGAUUAGUUCAUAUCAAAUGCAAAGUAUAAUACCCAUACUCCCUUUUCUCUAACAGUCCUGCUAAAACUGGAUGAUGGUUAACAGAAACCAGGAAACCAUUACAGGCUUAUCUUCAUGGAAAUCUCCAAAAACUAAUUGAGGAUUGCCAAUCGUCGUGAAAUGUCAGUAGAAAUCAGUUACAGGUCAUGUUUCCUGCAUCUUCCUACUUAAAGUUUUAGGGGAGAGUUCAUAAAAAAAUCCAUAGGGCCCUAGUGCAGUUAGAGGAUUCAUUUGGUUAAAGGUGGGAAUGGUGCAACGAAACAGCUUAAGAUGGAAGUUAACAUUAAUUCACACAUCUGUUGAAAUAAAGUUUCUCUCACUUUCAAGAAACUGCUGAUCUCAGUGAAAUAUACUUAUGCAUUAAAGGAAACUUUUAUCAAAGUGUUUGAUUUAUAAAUCAUAUAAUACAUUGUCAGAAAUUCAAAUGUCUAAUCAGAUUAACAAAGCAACCGUCACAUUCAAUGCUUCGUUCAAGUGGUCUUUUCCACUGAUUUUGAGUUGCUCUACCUUCUAACUUUUAGCUGGCUAGAUCAAGUGGCAUACAGUUUUGCAACCAUCUUGAUGAGAACCCGAAGACCAAACUUAAAGUAAAUAAAAUAUAUUGCCUGGCAUAUCACUCAGAUAAAGAGAGAGCAGAAGUUAAUAGAAACAGAUACGUGUGCACCCAUUGUGAAUACUCCACGUUCUAGGAAAUUAUAAAACUCAAACGUGUAAGAAGAAACAGCACAAAUGAUAGAUCCAAACAUGUUGCACAAGGAGUUUGACUGUUCCAUUCUCCAAAGUUCAAAUGUCGGUUAUGUUGAUUACAUCAUAAUUACUAUAAAAAUACAUGCAAGUUUGGAAUAAUGAGAGGCAAGUAAUUACCAUUUAGUAUAACAACCAGUUUACGAGGAAGUGUAACAUCAUCCCAGGUAUAAUCAACAAAGCAUUCAGAUCCAAGAAACUCUGACUCUGAUGAAUUCUGGGAAAUUUCCAAUAAUAAUUAUCAGUAACAAAUUAAUACAUAUGGAAUGCCUCAAUUGAGCAUUAACUAAUUAGACAGAAUAAGUAACAUGGACUCAAAGCACAACCUUCUGAUAGUAAGUGAGGGAUGCACCAUGCAGAUAAUUCUCAAUCCGAUACGGUAGCUUGCUGCUUGGUGGUUUUUGGAAGCGCACUACAAUUGUAGAACCUUCCUCGACUACAUGAACUUCUGCAAAUUCUGCAAUCUUUUUGUCCUCUGCUGUCAACUGACUAGAAUGCUUUCUAAAUUUUAGGAAAAAACGUCCUAAUGAAGUGAUGCAUAAUGGUCCUGACCAGUCCAACUGAGACUCAUUCAACCGAAACUGAAUAUAUAUUAAAGAACUAUCAAAAUCAUUUCUAUGCUUUUUGAUGAUAUUCUCAAAUAAACUGUAUUCUGCCCUCUUGCCAAUUUCUUUCUGCAGCAAUAGUGCUGCACUCUGUCUACUGUUGAUGGAAAUCAUGCCAGCUGUGUCAACCUUCACAUCCAAACACCGAAAAGGGGAAGAACAAAGAAAGUAAGAACUUGAAAUGCAUAAAAUAAAACUGCAUCCUACAUCGGUGGGUACAAACCUCCAAAUUACACUGACGAACAGUAAUAUUUUCCUCUGACUCAUUCAGCACAACAUGCCUUGGAGCAAUUGUUAUUGUUUGUGAAGGAACAACACUAUUCAAGGAAGGUGCAAUAGAUACCCCAAACUUUGCAAUAUAUUUCACUCCAGAUCUUUCCGCUAUCUCCAGACUUACUUCUGUAGGGCCUGAUAGAGUAUCCAAAUCAAUUUGUGGUUCUGAUGCAGGAUUUUCGAAUAACCUGAGAUGCAUCUUACAGGAUCUGGCGGCAGGAGUGCACAAAAAAGUUAUAACCAAUGAAGAAACCAUAAUAUCAAAUAUGCUCUGAUCAUAAAGGUAGAUAACGAACUUUAAAUGCUAUAUAACAGUUCCAAAAAAUUUUGCUUACCGCAAAAACCAUGACCCUGUUGACUUUGGGGGUAAAAAUAAACCUAAUUCAGGACGAAUGCCCUCCAUUUCAUUUCUGCAGAUGUUCAUGAAUUAUGGCCAUGAAGUAUAUAAGAAAGCAUAACCCAGCACUUUAAGAAUUUGCUAACAAUUUUCAGAGAUAGAAACUACCUAAACGGAGGCUUCUGACCAGAAGCAAAGAAGAACAUAGAGAAAUCGGUUUCAUUCUUCAGGAUAUAUGGUGUAUAAACAGUAGCCUGUAACAGACAAAUAAUUCAGCUAAUACAUGCUCUGGAACUUGUUAAGCAUCCAUCCAAAAAUCAAUCGGUAAUAAGAGGAGGGGCCCAACUUUAAAACCACAGGGAACCUAAUAUUUAACAGAUGUGAAAUUACACCACUUAACACUCCCCUCACGUGUAGCUCACAGGGCCUACAUGUGGACAACCUUACCAGGGGUCAGGUUGGAAAAACAACAUAACAAAACCUUGGUUCUCAUAGAUGUUAAGCAUCCAACCUAAAACCAAUUGAUAAUAAGUGGAGGGACCCAGCUUAAAUAUAAGACCAUAGGAAACCUAAUAUCUAGCAGAUGUGGGAUAACACUUAAUAGAACUUCUACAGCAAACAAAACUAAACAUGAUUAAAAAAAGAAAAAAUGAAAACUCAUGAUACGUGUGCACCUCAGAAAAUAUAUCAUCAAGAAAAAUUUAGAAUGUAUCACAUUUGCAAACAACCUCUAAUAUGCCUUUGUAUCCACGGGAUAAUCUUAAGGAUGCAAAGUAUUUUCCACCACAGAAAUCCAGGUCAAUGUCCAAGCAACGAACACCAGUCUUAUGCUUCAGUAACUUCUUGACCCAUUCUCCACUAUUUACUGGUUUAGAUGUUGAACUAAAAGCAGUUAAUGAAACCAAAAAGUACAUUAUAGCAGGAUUAGCAUAAAAAUCAACAGUUGAUCUGCAAGGUAGAGUUGCCUCCUUCCCAAUGUUGUCAUGGCCAGUAGGGGUACAUGAAUCUGCAACAAGAUGGAAGUUAAAAGAGUAAAAAUAACAAAUACUUUAUUGUUCAAAAAACUCGCAGGUCAUACUUGUC
rnacentral:lncRNA from 1 species